CCCGAGAUGCCUUCAAUAAAUAGUAGACCACGUCUACUUGCUAAUUACGCAAUCAAUUUAUCUAAAUCGCAUCACAAUUGACUAAUAAUUGCUAAUUAAUUCUAAUCUAACAACCUAAACAUAAUUAAUUAAAACUAAACCAACCUAAAGCAUAAUUAAUCAACUAAUCCGGGAUUAGUGAGAUUACUCACCAAAUCGCGCGCAAAUCGGAUCAAUCCGACGGCGGCGACGCGAGGAACAAUUCUUCCCAAAGCGCGGCUCGGGUUCGGGGCCGGGAAACGGCCCAAAACGGCCUUGAACAGUGCUGGAAACCCAUUUUCUGACUUCUCUGAUCGCUGCUGGAAGGGGCGGAUCCGGGGCUGAUUCGAGCUAGCCAAGGCCGGUGGAGGGCGAGGGGACUCCGACGGGUCGAAGUGGCGGCGCACGGUGGCCGGAGGUGGCCGAACCGUGGCCUGUGAUGGCCAAAACGAAGCUGAAUAGAGGCGGAACAGGGGUUGGGUCGCACAGCGAGGACGGUAGGUGCGAUCGUGAGGCGGCGGUGCGCGCGGCGUCGCGCGGGCGGCGGUGCGGCAGCUCCGGUGCGGCGGCGUCCAGGCAGCUGGUCGCGGUUCCUUCCGGCGACGCUGGACGCUGCUUUACUUUCUGCUGUCCUCUGGUUUGCACCAGUAAGAGGAGGGAGAGAGAGGCGGAAGAGAGGGCGUGCGGUGAGGUGCGGCCAACCGCGGAGCAGAGGCGGCGGCUCCGGCUUCGGUGGGCGACGACGGCAGCUGCUUCUGCUUCUCUGGUCUUCCGCUCCCAUGGAGGUUUGGAGAAAAGGAAGAAGAAGAUAGGGAUGGAUCCGUUGACGGAGGAGAGAGGGGAGGAAGAAAAAUUCAAUUUCCCCUCGUCCUCUCACACACUCUCUCUCUCUCUUAGGUCAUCACACACUUGGCCCACCAUGACAUCAUGUGAUGUCACCUUCCACUCACAAUUUCUUGUCAAUUCUACCCCUUCUAGAAGCCUUUAGAUAGGCCAAAAUGUGGGGUAUGUGUGGCAUACGAAUUUGCUAGGUUUUCUUUCCAAUUGGGCCUUAAUUCCUCUUGAAUUAAAUCAAAUUGACCCCCAUUAAUCCAUGCAACACCUCAUCAUUCUAAUUGGUAUUUUUCCUUACCAAUAUAACCCACUUGCAUUCCAACUUCACAAUCCCUGGCUUCAACUGAACGAAAAUGGCUCUAUUUAUCCAGUCGAAUUAAAACCCGAAAAUCUGGAUGUCACAUAUGAGGCGUCCUGCAAUGCCAAUUAACUACAAAGGCAAUGAUAACCAGUCAAUCAAAUGAAUUCAAUUAGCUAUUGAAAAGUUCAACAAAAGGAAAUGAACUUAUGUCGUAAGGGACAUCUUAAAGGUAUAUGCUUUUUAAUUCUCGCUAUGUAGCAUUAACUAGACUGUUCAAAACUCAGAUGUGCAAUUGGUUGAAGGUUUAUUUUAGGGGGAAGAGAGGGAUUGGAUUUGGUAGAUACGAGUCUUACCUCUCUGGCCUUCUUUGAAUGGAAAGGCACUUCAUUCAAAUCCACCUCCAAUUUUCUCUUAAUCUUCUUCUACGGCAAUAUCGCCUUUCCUUGUCUCGCAUCUUCUGAGAAGGUGCCCAAAGUUAUCUUGGUUUCCUUUUGUUUAAUUCUAUCUGAUCUGCAAUAGUUUAUCAGGAUUCUUUUAGCACCAGAUGAUGGUGAUGAUAAUGAUUUUUUUUUUUUGGUCGAAAGCAGAUAUAUAUUAUAUAGCUAACCAAGAGUUCCACCGUUUGCCAUACGGUCAGUACAGAUAAUAUCCAAAAGAGGUGAUGAUAAUGAUUGAUUACAGCUACUUUUAUACAACACAAGGGAGCUUUUCCUUUCCAUCCAUUCCUUUGUUUGCCGUUUUCGAUGCGGAGCUCCACAUGUAAUCUUGGCAUACAAUUAAAUACGCUCAGAUUGGAGAGAUGGAGCGGCUGGGAUUUUGGUCCCAGAAUCAGGUCAACAUGGUAAGGAUCGAAAGCCUUUUUGCAUAAAGAUAUUAUGGGCAAUGAGUCAACCCUCACUCCCCACCUUUCUUAUAGAUCCAUGACAUCUUUACUAAUUAGGGCAACGUUGUUGUAAUUAUAGGUGCAAUAAUUUUGAAGAAACGCCCAAAAAAAAAAAAAUCGCUAGGCCUCCACGGAACGAAGAGUUAUUUUCUUGCGUCAGCUGAGCGGAUGUGGAGUGCGUGCUAAUUACACACGGGUGUAAUUUGGUGAUUAGUUGGUAAGGAGAUGGUGUGUGAUUUUAACUUUCGACAGGAGGGCAAUUUUGGAAAAAAUAGAGCGACAAAAUGAUGUUUUGGUGAAAACAAAGAGGUGCAAAUGCUGCGAUAUUCAAACCCAGGACCACGAGCGAUAAAGAUUGAAUGGCAAUGAACUUAUUUUGCCGUUUGGAGAUAGAUCUUCAUACACCCAUCAAAAGGGUGUUUCAAGUUUGUUUUGGAACGAGUCGAAAAUGGUCCGGCCCAAAUAAACUCAUUUUAAUCCAUUUUAAUCCAUUUUACAUACAAUAUGUAUAUAGUGACUCAUAUCUGGCAUGUUCCGCAUUGCUAAAACAUCUCUUUAUUUGACCUAAAUCUAGGAAAAUUCACAUCCAAAAUCGAGGUGGGUCGGGUCAUAAACCCAUUUAAUACUUCAUCAUUUAUUAUAUUCGUUUACAGUCUAUUUUGAUGGGUUUAGAUACUCAAGAGGGAUAAAAAGACAAAAACACGCCCGGAUUGGAUCCGGACUCAGCACUGCAUUCGCAGCAGCGAUUGCAACGGGCAAAUGGCCCCUUUCCUCGCCCGACCCACGAUCCAUCCCCCACAUUUCUCGUCCGUGGCACGUGGCUGGCAGGUGCAGAGACAGAGAGAGAUUCGAAAGCUUCCGGUUUUCAUGUGACCCCACCUCGAACGCCCACAUCCGCCAGCUUCAGCGCUUGGAGUUUAAAGGAAAAAACGACGACGCGGCACGAACCGUUCGACCUUGGCAGUUCUUGGCAGAGGGGAAUGCCGUUUCACUCUUCCAUCCCCCGUUUUUAAAUUUUUCAUCUUUUCUUAAUUUCCUUUUUUUCUUUUUCUCGAAUAUGGUUAAAGGCCAAAUCCCCAUUUUCCCCCCUCCUCCCCUUUUCUGGAUUUUCAUACAUUCUUUUUUCUCCUCCGCUUGGGAUUUUUAUGCAGGACGAAAUUUCCAGCUUUUUUUUUUUUUUUAUAGCUAAUUUAAUGAAAGAGAUCUUGAAAAGGGGAAGUCCAGCCGUGUAUAUCCGGGUACCCUUCUUUGUUUCCAUUUUCAGUUAUUGGCAAUAAAAUUAUUUUUGAAUAGUGGAGAACCUCAAUUUUUGCAAAAAAUGAGAAUGAAUCACUCGAGAUAGAUCAGAUGUGUUGUAUAAAAAAAAAGUAAUGCAAAUGCUUUGGCCACUCACUAGGAUUUUGACUUAUGUUUUAUCUGGUUCAUGACGUUAAAAGGUUAUUUUCGGGGAUUUUUCUGAAAUUAGAUUAUCGUCAAAAAAGAAGUACAAGUAAAUUAUAAGACCGGAUCAAUAGAAUUUAUGCAAAGUCUUCUUUUUUUGGGUCUAAAAAUUUAAAUUACAGCUGCCCCCUGUGGUGGAGGACUGUGCGGAAGACGCGCCUGUCCGAACCGGUGAGGUCAAAAGUUGCCAUCCCCUUGCCUCAGUUCCCAUCCUACCAAAAAUUCACAAAACUCGCAUCUUUCGUCUUCCUCCUCAAGAGCCUCUCUCUCUCUCUCUCUCUCUCUCUCUCUGUGAAAAAUGCUUUCACCACCAUUCGCUCUGAAAAUGUAGAACAGGCACAGCAGUUUAUCUUCUCCAUCGAGUAUCGAGCGAGCGUCGACCAUCAUGGGGAAAAGAAGUGGCAAAACCCUAAUCUCCCACACCCUAGCAGUUUAUCACGAUUCUUUUAGCAUCGGAUGAUGAUGAUAAUUGAUUACAGUUACUUUUAUACAACGAGAGUGAGCUUUUCUUUUCCAUCCUUUCUUUUGUUUGUUGUUUUGAAUGCGGACUUAAAUAUGCUCAGAUUGGAGAGAUGAAACAGCUAGGAUUUUGGUUUGAGAAUCAUGUCAACAUGGUAAGGAUCGAAAGGUUUUUGGCGUAAACAAAUUUAGGAACCCUAGCAGUUUCUACUAUUGGGCUGUGAAUAGGUCUGCUGCCUAAAUCAAUAGAAAAUCUCUCUGGCGGAGUUGUGGCUGAGCAACUAAAAGAAUUGGAACUGACUCCUCUGUUUUAGGCGCCAACAUCUUUGUCUGCCUCAUUUUCUCUUGAUCCUCCUAUAAACAGAUGAUACGAACGGCAUAAGCUACCAUUUAGUCGCAUAUAUUUGCUAACACGUCGCACUUGGAAGAAAAUUCACAUAUAGGAGUAAAGAAGAAAGACACUACUCUACAUUCUCAUGAAAAGCAAAACUGCAGAUACUUUUACCACUAUGAGGUCUCCAAAUUCAUAAAUUACAUCACUCAAGGCUUAUACAUUAUUAUACUAUCAAUGUCUAAUCUAUUCUAUAAAGCAAACAAUCAAUUUAAUUUCUUUGCGACUUGGGAAUCACCAAUUCCUCCAUCCAAUGAAGAAACAUAAAAGCCAUAUUAAAUAGCAAUUACCCAUUAAAAAAAAAGUCAAAGUUAUAGGCGGAAUAAGCGAAGAUAAUAUAAUAAUCACUUUGAAGGAAGAGUCAUGUGGCGGGCAGGUAAAACACAAAACAAAACAAAACAAAAAAAAUGGCGUUCUCCCUUUUCACCAAGCACUGCAUAUUCUUUUUCAGUUCAUGGAAAAGGAAGUUCCUGGAAGAACGUAGAAAUAAUCAUACCUUGUGUCUGCUAUAAAGUGCCCUUCGCUUCUCUUUGGCCCUACAAAUUGCCAUAAAAUCAUUUGGCCACAACUCUGCAAGCUGUACCAAGUCUCCAAAAAGUCAAGACAUUACACUGACAAAAGCCUCGUGAUAUACGAUCUAGUGGAAUAGGAUUUGAUUCUGCAAGCGGUUCAGUAUGAACGAAGAAAUUUUGAACAAAAAAUUAGUGGAUGCUAGUAAAAACCAAUUGAGGUGAUAAAUAAAUAGAGAUCGUAUAAAACCAUUUGCUAUGUAGAGAUGGCAGGCUCCACGGAAACAUUCUUUAUUUUAAUAUGCUGAUGCCUACAUACCUCACAACCUCAAUUCCCCCCGUAUCUUCUUCUUUUCAAGUAGGAAAGAAUACCCUUUAGUUGUUUUACAUCUCAGUGAUCCCGAGGUCCGAACGAGGACAAAGACCAAAAGAUGAUGAAUAAAUAGAGAUCAUAUAAAAUAACAAGUCAAGCCAACCAAUUCAGUGGUUUCUCCACGUUUCAUUAUGCAUGCUAUCACGAUUAUCAUCAAAAUGUUUACUUGAACGACUUCACAGAGACCCAAAGUUGACAACUGCAGCCAUUUCAAAAAGCAGGUUGCACUGUCCACCCUUUCAAUUAUUUGUUAAUUCAGAACAAGGGGAAAGGCAGGUUUGGUGCUUGCAUAAUUUCAUAUAAUUGCAUAAAUAAAUCAUAAACUAACACGUGUGGAACCCACAUCAGGAAAACCAUCACCAUGUUUGACCACUAUAUGAACAUGUGCUUGCAAUCAUGACCAUAAAAUAUAUUAAAUAUUAGCACCGUAAAUGCAGUUGAUCCCACAUCCAACUAUUAUUUCCUGCAAACUGUGGCAAUAUACACAAUCGUGAUGGUUUUGUCAAUACUUCACGAAGAGGAACUGUUAAAACAAGAUUGCAACAUGUCUAUAGCAGCUAGAGAGCAAUACAAAUAGUAAUUUUUAGUUUUGGGGCUAGUGGUACCUCAGCAUAUAAUUUUCUGACUUGUGGACCGAUGUCCGACCCUGAAAGCAUGAGAUCUAAUAAAAAAUCACAUUUAAAAGUAGCUUUCUAAAGCACGUUUCAACUUUAAAAAAAAAGAAGCACGUUUCAACUUGAAAAAGGCAGUACAAAAAAUGUAGACGAAAUAUGUACUUCAACGAAAAGAUUAUAGAGAUCACCAAUAAAUCUUAUUGACACCCAAAUUUUUAUCUAAGUUUUAAAUGUCCACUCAUUUUCCAAAAAUACAAAAUUCUAUAAAAUGAUAAAAGGCCAAAAAUAAAAUAUACUUAACAUAAAGAAAAUAGUAAUAAUGGAAGUAUAAAGAUCCAAAAAAAUUAUAUAAAAAAAAAGAAAUGAAAGAAAAUAAGUGGAAUGAAGAGGAAAUAAAUAAAUAAAUAAAAGAGUAAAAUGAUUAAGUCGAACGGGCCGGCCCCACUCCUUUAACAAAUGGUCGGCAGCUCCUUCUUUCCGUUGGCCCAUCCGUUGAACUAUUUUUUCCAGCCCAUUUCUUUCAUCCCUUUUGUUUCCUUCAUGGCCCAUUAGAGUUGUAAAAAAGAGAGAGGAGCCCAGCCCAUGGCCCCUUCUCUUCUCUAAGUGGGCGCUCUCCAGAGAGAGAGAGAGAGAGAGAGAGAGAGAGAUGGUAGAAGGACGUGCUGUGACCAAAAAAGGGAACGUCCGUGAGCGAGGGUGAGGAGCGACGAGCAAGUGACGUGAGCGUGCCCAAGCCUUCUAAUAGGUGAGCUGUCGCGUGAGAGAGAGAGAGAGAGAGAGAGAGAGGGGCGUAGCAGAAAAAAGAUUCGGCUGAGAGGAGCGCGGCUGGUUUGGCAGAGAGAAAGGGGGGGGGGGGGAGACUAAUGGGGGGGGUAAGGACAUCCGCGGUCAAACACUUGUCUUUGGGAACUCUGUUGCUUGGCUUUGUUUAAAACGGAGCCGAAACGAUAGCUGGGUAUAAAAUAAAAUAUAUAUAUAUAUAUAUAAUCUUAAUAUAGAUUAAUCUAGAAUAUGUAUAUUUUUUAUAUAUGUGUUGAUGCCUCAAUUUUAAUUAGGUUUAUUAAUUAAGUUUUUAUUUUGUCUUUUUCGAAAUAAUAAACAAAUAACAAAAACAACAAAAAAAUCAAUAAAAACAAAAAGAAAAGCAAAAGCCCAGCCCCUCUCCUCUUUUCUUUUCCUUUGCGCAGGUCCGCGAGGCCCAUCCGCAACCUAACCCGGCCCGGCCCCCUCUUUCUCCUUUGUCUUCUUCCUCCCAUCUUCUUCUUCCUUCCUCCUUCUUCCGCCUCUGCAAGACACGCGCGGCAACGAAGACGCGCUCAAGCACAACCUACAACAGAGAGAGGAGCGUAGGCCGGUGGCUGAGAGGACGCAACAUUGAAGGCGAGCAUGCCUCCGUGGAAGGGGGAAGAUUUGACGCCGGUUUAGCCGCACCCAGGGCCGGUCGGCGUGCGAGGGCCGACAGCCGAACCUCCGUCGACCGGCCUCCUCCUCGCCUAUAAAUAGAGGAGCACCUCCGUCAAUGAAAACAAGAGCGAGCUCCGAGAUCUUCCCACUGAGAGACUUCGGGGGAGGAAUUGAAGAGCGAGCGAGAGAGAAAUCGGGCCGUGAGCUCGGCCGACCUCCCACUGAGAGACUUCGGGGGAGGCCGCCGGCGAGCGAGUCCGAAGAGGUCAGAUCCGGCCGGUGGAGGCUUGGAUCUGGCCAGAGUGAGAGAGAAGCGAAGUCGGAGGAGGUGCAGGGGUUCUGGAUUCGCGAAGAGGGGCGGAAGAAGGUCCCACCCCCUGACGCUGCUACUUUGCCGAAACCAAGCCACCGCCGUCGUUGUGACCCAGCACCAGCCACGAACCACGAGAUCCCGACGCUAGUUGCUGCUGCUAUCUCCCCCGCGAGCCGCUUCUGCUAUGAAGUUUGAAGAACCAACGCGAAAUCGAAGUCGCCGUAGCGAAGUUUCCCCGGUCGUGCUGAUCCAUUGUCGCCGCCAUCGUUCGCCGCCGCACCACGCCUUCUCUGCAAACAGGUAACAGCGGGUCUCACUCGCGCCGUCACCGUCGAAACCCUAACCACUGUCCGUCCGUGUCCCGGCCGCCGAGUCACCGCCGGGUGACGUCGCUUCCCUAGUGGAGUCGUCAGCAGCCGCUCGUCGUCGCCCUAGUCGUCGUCGCUGUGGAAGACCGUCGUCGCUGCCGUCGCCGACGCAAGCCGCCGCCUCAGUUCCUCCAUAGGCGUCGCGAGUAGAGAGAGGUGGGAGAGAGAGAGAGCCGCGAAUCGGAUGGAAUCGGGUCGAGCACAUGACCCGAUUCCCCUAGGGUUUUAGUCACGCGGGCUGGGAAGGGCCCAAUUUUGUCUGGGUCUCGGGUCGACGACUUGGGUCGGACCCAACCCGAUUCGUUUUUUAAAUUAUUAUAAUAUAAAAUAAUAUUUUAAAAAAAUAAAAAAAAAUUAUUUUCCAGAAAAAUACAAAAAAAUUCCAAAAAAUGCUUUUUAUGUCAAAAAAAUAAGAAAAAGACCCAAGAAAAUGUUUUUCCUCCACAAAUGAAUGGAAAAUCCCUCAAAAAUUCAAAAAGCCUAAGGGUUUAAACAAGAUUAGGUACCGAAAGGGCAUUAGUGAUUAACUAGUGUAAUCAAGUCCCUGAUUCUAAUUUCUUUGGUUGCGCAGGAGUGAGUAUUUCUCCCGAUACUUCGCUUGGGUUUCUAAUCAACCCACUCCAAAUCGAUUAGUGGCGACUCCAUUUUAAAAAUUGAUUUACAGGUUAAAAAAACUUGGACCAUUAAGUCGUGAAUUAGUGGACUUGGGAAAGUCCGGGCAUAAUUAAUUUCAGCCGAGCCAUUAGCCUCCUUUAGGCGCUCGCCCCUGAUCGGGCACCGAAAAAAAAAGAGGCCGCGACAGCUUGGCGACUCCGAUGGGGACUUUGAGGACUUAGGCCAUUUUAUCUUUGUUUAAAUGCUUUGCUGACUUGGAUUUUUUUCUUUUGUGUAGGGUAAUAGCUUAAAGUUUUUUUUAUUUAUUCUGUGAAAAUAAAAUGUUUUGUGAUGAUAAACUGCUGUGCAUUCUUAAAUGUUUUAGCACUACACAUGGCACACACAACCCGGCUGCCGGACCUGGGCUGCCAUAGGAUUUCUAGGAUGGUGUGAAGAAAGAUACGACCUCGAACGCGAGACUACGAUGUAGAGGUUGCCUUUCUUUGUCCGAAUUUCUUAGCCGAGGUUAGGAGGGUAUGCUGCUAACGCGAGACUGCGACGAGCGGAUAUCCUUUUAAUCUCACCAAGCCUUCUCAGUUAGAAAUCGAGCCGCACGUCCCAUGCGCAUGUUUAUGUGAUUGCCAUCAAUUUUCUUGUGUGAAGUAGGUUUUUAUUUCGUGUACUUUGCAAUUUACUUACCUUCCUGUAUAUAUUGAGUGGUCCAUGAUUAGUGUAGGAUUUAAUAUCGCGGUCAUCUAAAUUUGAAAGUGAUUGUUAUAAAGUUUUUUUUUUUAAGUUUAAAAAAAAAUUUGCAAAAAAUUACUUUCAGUUGAUGUUUUUAUUCUCAAGCAUGUUACAAAAUUUUUUUCCGCAAGAAUUUUCAUUUGCCUCAAAAAAGGGGAUAGAAACCUUUUUCAAAAUUUGUUGCAACUCAUGCUUUCUUCGCCUUUCAAAUUGAAUAUCUUUUUAGCUCAUGUUAACAUGUCACGUGCCCUUUUUCAAUCCAUGUUUAUGAAAUCCUCUACCUUUUCAUGAAUAAACAAAACUAGUAGGAUUAGGUUGUCAUCAUGGACUGACUCCCUAUUUACGCCUUGUAUUCACACACACUUGUUUACUCAUGACUAGGUAAUCACGGAACGUCAACGUUCGCCGAUCCAGACUCGUUCAAAAGCAAGAGCAAGAAUGGCCGAAGAAAAUAUACCAAGCCGUAUUGCGGUCAUGGAAAGUGAAAUGAAGCAAGUCUUCAAUGUGCUUCAACAACUUUCAAAGCAGAUAGACUCCAUCCAGGGCAAACUCACUCCCGCCCCGGCCUUAAUCAAGGUAUUGUUGCCACAAUCAUCUACUAGGGGUGAUCAAGGUGGAGAUACCGACGAUAACAUGCCCGAAUUGGAGGAUAAUCCGCACCCAACCAUGAUCGAGAAAGCUAGGCCAGACAGUUUGUCUAAAACUGAGCAUGACAAACGCCUCGAAAAGCUUGAGGAGAAGCUGAAACAACUGCAAGGCCUCCAAGAUCCUACUUUGACGAACCUCUCCAUUUAUUCCAAUGUCAAAAUGCCGGAAAAAUUCAAAAUGCCUGAGUUUGAGAAGUACGAUGGCACGACUUGCCCUAGGGCUCAUUUGCAAAUGUACUUGGUUAAUGACCCAAUAUGUCACGCCCCGAUCCUCGGACGCGCGCACAUCCUUAUACUUGGUCAAUUUUCGAAUGCGAUAUCCCAGGACUAUGUAUCGCCGACCCUUUCCAUUUAUUAAGCACAUGCGGAAGCAAUUAUAAAUCUCCAGACAAUAAAAACAAUGGGAUAGGAAAGUAGGCCAUAUUUUUCAUAUUGAAGUUCAUAACCACACUUUCAUUAACAUCACAACUCAUAGUAUAUUUACAAUACUAUUCACAACAUACUUGUCUCACACCUAUCUAUACUAAGACAGGGUUUACAAAAGGGAUGGGAUCUCAGUCCACAUCCCGGUUAUAUUCAAGAUCCCUCUCUGGAUCAUCUUCUUCUUCAAAAGUCUUUCUCCCCUUCAAGUUCCCCUUCCUUAGCUUCUCCUCAGGGUCCUGAAAUGGUUAUUCAAUAACCAAUGAGACCACAUCUCAGCGAGUCCUACCCCCUAAGACUCGAUUAGAAAGCCAAUACACUAUAGACUACCUAAACACGGCACGAGUUGGAGGACUUACCUUGGCCUCAGAUUCCAUUUGCAUAUUAGUACAGUUCAAUAGGCAUUCAAACAAUCACAUCACCGAUCGAAGCAUCGAUCGAAUCGACCUAGUCGAUUUCGUAUCAGUCGGAACCUCUCAAGAACUAGUGGCUUUACGGUCCCACCCGACCCUCUCAAGAACUAGUGGCUUUACGGUCCCACCCGACCCUCUCAAGAACUAGUGGCUUUACGGUCCCACCCGACCCUCUCCAGAUUCAAUUUAGGAAUAAAUCUUAAAUUCACUCAUAAAUUACUUUAGCACCAAAUAAAGCUCAAAUAAAUAAACGGACUGCACCACAACAAUCAGCACGAAAUUCCGGUCACCGGCCAUCCCGGUUGAAUUUCCGGAAAAAUAAAUAAUUAAAUAAUUAAUUUCGAAAAUUAAAUAAAUAAUUAUAAAAAUCCAAUUUAGGCUCAAAAUGCCGAAUUGGAUACCGAGACAAGCCCGAAAAAUUACCGAGACUCGUUCCAUAAAUAACAUGGCAUGUCUACUUGCUAAUGUCUAUUUCUAACCACCUAACAUGCAUUAUUAAGUCUCUAAUUUAAUUGAUCUAAACUAAUCUAACCACCUAAUUGCAUUUAAUUAAAUCUAACCAACCCCUAAGCAUAUUUAGCAAACUAAGAAAGCUUUAGUGAGUAAAACUCACUUGACAAAAGCGGAGACCGAAUCACCGCGACGGCAACGCGACGGCGGCCGAAAUUGGACUUUCGACAACACCGGCGGACUUGGCCCGGGCCUUAAGCUUGGCCCAACAAAUCUCAGCCCAACUGAGAUUUGUUCUUGCUUUUGGGUCAGACCCAAGUUGGGUUGGGCCUGCUGAAAUGGGCUUGAAGACUGCAGGAGAUGGGCCUCAAUAAAAUUCUGCUGAAUUGGGCCUCAAAUUACUGGGCUGCAACUUGAAUUAAAUUGGCUGAAGAACUGCUGGACUGAUGGGCUCAAAGACUGCAAGCUUGGGCCGACUGUUCUACGGGUGAAGAAGAGGAAUCACGCGGACAGGGGAUGGACUUUCGGUUGCUCAUGCGGCUGAAGACCGUGGACUCACGGCUUCGAUGAUGCUGUUGCUUCGCUGGGGUUCUGGGAUUCCUUCGGUGGAAUUCGCUGGCCGCAUAUGGAGUUGCGGACGUGAGAUCAGGGUCUUCGGUGGAUGCAAUGUUGACCGAAGAAGGGCAGGUGGCAGCGGCUUGUGAACCGAUGGAGAAGAAUCGGUUGAGCUCCGCAGGUGAUGGAUGCGCGCGGCUUCAGCUUUGCUGGCCGCGAGAGAGAGAAGACACGAAGAUGGGUGGUCUUCGUUGAUGGAGUCAACACCAAGGCUUCGUUGACGGUCGAGUAGAUGGGACGUGGCAAUAGCUGCAAGAAGAAAUCGUGGCAGAGAUGGAGAGAGCUGCUGCGGGGUCUUCGGUCAACAAACCGAAGCUUGUUGCUGGAGAAACUCAGCAAAUGGGACUUCAACGUGGCAGCUUGAAGCCAGGGGAUGAAACGUUCGGUGGACAGGAUGGUGGCCGACCGGUUGGGGUGUUGGCACCAGGAGCUGCAGCAGAGGAAUCGGUGGAACGGCCGCAAGAGAGAGAGGCUUUGGUGAAACGGCGCUCGCUUCUUCUUUGCUUGACUCUCGGUCUUCAAGCAGCGGUAAAGAAGGGUAGGAAGGAAGCUGUCGCAUGGAAUGGGAAUGAUGGAAGGGAAGAGAAGCAACUCACGGCAGCUUGGGGAAGAGGAUGAGGAAGAGGUGGGGCCUUGGCUUGAUAUUUUGUAAGAAUCUCCUCCAAGAAUCACUCUUGGCCAAGUAAAAAUACUUGGCUAUCACCAAACCAUCCAAAUGACUCCCAUAACCUCUCAAGUAGUCCAAUAUUGCUAGGGUGAGGGGAUGAUACGAAUUUCACCAUUUGAACUUCAAUUUCUCCAAUAAAUUCCCAAAUUGAGGUCCAAUUUCGAUGUAGAAAAUCCCAAAUGAUUUUCUAUAAAUCCCCGACACACAACGGCUUAGUCUAAAAGUCCAAUUUCCCAUUAAUUUAGCCAAUCUGAACUUUUGCCAAUUUCCGCGACGUCCGAACCUAAUUUCCGUAACAUUUCCCGGAUCUCCGAAAAAUCUUCUGAGAUUGAGUUGAUGCUCCUAAAAUUUAUUGUGACAUGGCCAAAACUUCAAUUUCUGAAAUCGGACUUGAAUUGGCGGUUAAUUUUCAUUCGGCGCGUUUUUAGCGUGACCUAGACUAUCGGGUAGUUUUCAGAACUUUUUAAGGCAAAUGACCCGUGGUCGAUUUUCUUCGAGCCACUAUGAACCCACUCGACUCAAUGGCGACUCUUGAUUGUCGUGAAAAUAUCGAGGAUUCAAUUACGGACACAGGGUACCAAAACAAUAAGAAAAUCAGUCUAGUGUUGGCCGACGAGAAUUUUCUAAUUCAGUGGUGUCACCCACGAUUAGUCACAUAUCUCUAUUGAUCCAGUCUAUCUCUGAUUUCAAAUCGAAUUUUAACUAUGCCGUAGUGACCUCUAAAGAUGGACACGGUCAAGAAGCCGAUUCCUGAUCGAGUUCUCAAGUCUAUUGCCGUAAAAUUUCCUUAAUAAUUUCUCCAGAUAGUUGUCGCGACCCAAUUUUUUUUCAGAGUGUGAACCACCUAGGGUUUGGCUAAUGGAUUGUUAAGCCUAGACUUAACGCGGGCUCUCCCAAGCCCAUACCAAUUCGCGACUUAGGUUUGAAUUCUUAACAUGCAAAUUGAUUUUAUUUAGGAGUCGCCACUAAUCAGUUUAUGGUAGGUCGAUUAGACACCUAAGUAAAAUAAUGGGAGAAUUACUUUACUCCUACGAACCAGAGACUAAGGGUGCGGGGACUUGAUUACACUAGAUUUCUCUAAUGCCCUUUCGGUACCAUUCUUUUAAUUUCAAAAUUGUAUUUUUUGCAGGCAGCUUGAAUUGAUUUUAAAUUCUAACAUGUGAGGUGAUAAUGCAGGUGUGCAAAUCAUCAAUUUAACACUCAAGAAAGCAAAUGAAUAAAUUGCAGGACUUACCUUAUAGCAACGAAAGCAUCUGCGUUGUUAGUUUAGAAUUCACAUCAGCAGUCCUAGAUAUGAUUUCUAAUUAACACGCAAUUUUUGUUUUGUUUCANNNNNNNNNNNNNNNNNNNNNNNNNNNNNNNNNNNNNNNNNNNNNNNNNNNNNNNNNNNNNNNNNNNNNNNNNNNNNNNNNNNNNNNNNNNNNNNNNNNNUGCAAUGCAUGCCACUAAUUUAACAUGAAAUGAUAUGACAUGGCAACAUGUCCUAAACCAUAUGAAUAAAAAAUUUUAUGAUCUCUUAAUGAGCAUGCAAUUGUUAAAUAUGCAAUCUAAAUUAACAAAAAUGACUUAAUUCUAAUGACGUGCAAUGCAAUGCAAUGACGUACAAAAUUAUUUAAUCUAAAAUGACAUGCGACAUUGCAAUUUAAUAUGCGAGCUAUAUGUCACGCGACAUUUAUUAAAUGGUCUAAUCUGAUGACGGUCAAUUUCUAAUCAGAAAUAAACUUAACAAUAAUCACUAAAUGACGUGCAUUUCAUGGACCUAAUUCUAUAUGACAUGGGCAUUUUUAUUUUCCUAACAAAACAUGCAAUUUAUCUAGGACAGAUUAUCUACCUAUAAUUGAUAAACAUGCAACCCUAACAUGCAAUGACGUGCAAAGAAUGCAUUAAUUCAACAUGAUAUAUGCAUGAUGAUUUUUUUUGUGUUUUUUUUUUAUUAAUUUCGAAAUUAAAAUUUUCACAUGCAAUUCAAAUAAUGAUAAAAACUAACAUCCUAAAUGAAUGUGCUUUUUCUUUUGGUUUUCUUUUCCAUGAUUUAAAAUAAAAUUCUUAUUUUAAAUAUAAAAGAUAAUAACCAAACCUAAUCUUAAUUCAACAUUUUUUGGAUUUUUUUAUUUAAAACUCGAGAUAAGAUUGCAAUUUUAACCCUAAAUUAGCAAAUCUAAUCCUAACUCAAAUAUUUUUUUGGAUUUUUCUUUUAUGAAAAUAAAACUGACUCAACCAACAGCGAAUCAAAUAAGAUAAGAUUGAUAUCUAAAAAUUGACGAACCAUAUCUCGCGCAUGAGAUCGGGUUGGCCAAUUUUAAAUUAAAUCGCAAAUCAAAUCUCGGGCUUGAGAUUAGAUUGUCGAUUUUUAUAAGGGAUUGCGAGUCGGAUUUCGGGCGCGAAAAUCGAACUGUCAAUCCCUAGCUUGAGGGGAACUUUCAUAUUGGGAUCUCAAUCAUAUAUUUAAGAAUAAUCCUACUAAAGGAAAAGGUAAACAAGUGAGAAUAACAUUAAAAAAUAAAAUGAAGUAAAAAGAAAAGAACUACCUAAAUAAUUUUCUUUUUUUCUUUUGUUAUACGCGGCUGGUGGUGGGUCACCGAGAGACAGCCGUUCAGAGGUCCCGGCAGGGGGAUCACCGGCGAGGGAGAGCUCCGGCGAGGCAAGGCAGGUGGGCGUUUGGCGCGGAGCAGCGAGGAUUGACGCUGGCAAGGGACUUCGGCGAAGCAGGGCACCGGCGAGGGAGGCGUCACAGGGUGCGGGGCCUGCUGUCGGGCACCGAGGAGAUGCGAGCAACAGCGAUGUGGGCUCUGGCGGCGUUGGGUCGCGGCAGGAACAACGGCACGGCGGCGGCUAAGCGUCGGGUCUCAGCGCGGUUCGGCAGCAGCGUCGGCGGGCGCUCGGGCGGAAUAAACGCGAGCGGAGCAGGGGAGCUCCGGUUUCGUCGGAUGUCGGCUGGAAACGAAAUCGGAUCAGGAGCGAUCGGCACCUAGGUUGCCGUGGGGGAGACUUCGGCUACGAGGACGCCGAGGUGGAGACGCAAGCAGGGACCGACGGUGGGCGCGGCGGGCUACAUGUGGCGAGGGAGGCUCAGCUAGCGCCGGUCACGACAGGAGCAGGGAACGCCGAGUGCUGGGUCGCGAGCAGAUCUCAAGCGCAGGCGUCGAGGAGCGGACGGAGCGGCGAGACCGGCGGCGAACGGAACAGCGAGGUGGAGGAGGACGUCGGGCUUCGCGGAGCGGAACAGAGGGUGAGCAGCGAGCUUGGGGAGAUGAUGAAUAGUGAGGGUCAAAUCACCUCUGCUUUUUACUUUUCUCCUCUUUUUCUCUCUCUCUCUCUCUCUCUCUCUCUCUCUCUCUCUCUCUCUCUCUCUCUCUCUCUCUACUUUUUCUUUUUUUCUGCAGUUUUUCCCUUUUUCUGCUCUUUUCCCUUUCGCAGAAGCUAAACCUCUCUUGACCUUUUUUCUGUUUUUUUUUCAAAAAAGCCCCCUCACAGGUCCUCGUACACGGUUGCUUUUAUAGGAGGUAAGAGAUAAGCUUCCGAUUUCCCCUUCAAAUCUACAUCCGCGAUACAUUUUCACCAACCGAUCACUAUUGAUAAAAAUUUAAGAUUAUGAUAAAUAUUUUCUCGAAAUCCAAAUCUCGCAAAGAUAAAUCGCAAUAUCGCAAUAUUUUUUCAUAAAAUUCAUCCCAUACUGAUAAGGAUUCAAGAUUAAGAUGCGAUUUUUUUUUCUAAAUCCAAAUCUUUCAAGGCCAAAUCGCAAUAUUUUUUAACCAUCUGCCCUAUCUAAAAAAGAUUCAUAUCUCGGAAAAAUUUUAAAAUAUUAUAUUCCCAUGAGAUAAUUUUUAAUUAUUAAAAAACGCGGGCUUGGGCCAACCUCCUCGCUUCGUGGGCCUGAUCCAUCUAAUUCGAACUCAUCCACCACCGGUCCAAUAGAUAAAAUGCAAAUUAAAAUAAAAUGCACCUAAAUCUAUAUGCUAUGCAAUCAAUAUAUAUAUAUUGAUAAAAUUAAACCCUAAUUUCUUAAUGCAAUAAAUGACUAAAUGGGUAGCCAAAAUUUAGGUGUCAACAGCUGCCCCUCUUUGAAAGUGAGCUCGAAGAGGUUGCCUUCAAAGACAAAUUGAGACCUAAAUUUUGACUAUGCAUAUGCAUUGAAUGAUUUUUUGUUGGAAAAUGAAUUCCAUUUUUUAAUGCAAAUUAUAUGAUGCAUGAAAAUACUAAUGCAAAUGAUAGAUGAACCUACCUGAAAUAACUUACCUUCGAGGAGAAUAGAGUAAUUCGAGGUAGUGGGUGUUACUUGUCCAGGACCCGUACCAUUCUACGGUCGCCUAGAAUAGUAACAUGACUUUGUGAAGAUGCUGCUUUCCCAGGACCCGUACCAUUCUACGGUCGCCCAGUAUGGCAGAAAGGAGCUGCUUUCUCAGGACCCGUACCAUUCUACGGUCGCCCAAUACGGCAGAAAUGUUUUGUAAUGAACUGCUUUCCCAGGACCCGUACCAUUCUACGGUCGCCCAGUACGGCAGAAAUGUUUUGUAAGGAACUGCUUUCCCAGGACCCGUACCAUUCUACGGUCGCCUAGUACAGCAGAAAUGUUUUGUCUAGGACCCGUACCAUUCUACGGUCGCCUAAACGGGGAUUCAUUUUCCAGGACUCGUAUCAUUUUACGGUCGCCUGAAUAGGGAAAUAGGUUUUGUCUAGGACCCGUUCUAUUCUACGGUCACCUAAACGGGGAUUUACCUUCCAGGACUCGUACCAUUCUACGGUCGCCUGAAUAGGGAAAUAGGUUUUGUCUAGGACCCGUACCAUUCUACGGUCGCCUAAACGGGGUUUUGCUUGGCUAGGACCCGAACCAUUCUUCGGUCGCCCAACCUUGCAACAGAGAUCAACUGACCAGGACCCGAACCGUUCUUCGGUCGCCUUAAUCAGAUCGAGUCUUAGAGGAAAAACUUUGGGGGACAACUCAGUCGAGUGUCGGUGUUUUCAAAAAGGACCCUGGGCUAUGACAGCACACCAGGUCGAUAUAAAGGGACAGCACGCCGAGUCGAUAAAAAGACUCUGGGCUACAAAAGCACACCGGGUCAAUAUAAAUGGACAUCGGGCUACGAAAGCACGCCGAGUCGAUAAAGAGGGACUCUGGGCUACGAAAGCACGCCAGGUCAAUAUAAAGGGACAGCUUGAUUGAGUCAAGUGUCGAGAAUGGGUAGAGAUACACUUACCUGAUGAUAUCUCUGAUUCUUUGGGAUAUGUCUUCUAGAACUUAAAUAUCCUAUGGAGGCCUUUCACCUCCUAAUAUCAUGAAACAUUCUUAAAGGAACUUGAAUUACCUGUCAGACAUGAUUUAGAGCAAAAACUGAUAUGCAUUCAUCAAAGAGAUAGACAAUCUAAGCUACUCUAGAAUGCACAUUUCAAAAUUCAGUGAGGUUUUUAUCAACUCAAUCAGGGUUUAUGCAUAAUGACAUUUGUAUUACCCAAAUUUCCACUGGAGAGAAUUAUCAUUCAAGACAAUCUUCACUCACGACAUGGAUUUCUUAAAAAUACUAAAUGAGAGACUUUCGGUUAGAAAGGACUUUCACUCACUCUCAUUUAGAAUGGCUAUUUUAUGAGAAUCACUCAAUUUUAUCAUAUCGACAUGGGUCCGAGUAUUCUCGCAAGCGGUACGAUCUUACCAAUCUGAGAGGUCUUUAAUAGGGACCAUAAUGUGGCUUGGUCAACGGCUUAACAAAAGGACUCUUUGAGUCAAGGCUAUUGAAAGAACAACUCUUUAAUCAUCUCCGGGUUUACAAGUCAAGAACCCUGCAAAAUGAGAAAGAAAUAAUCUUGCUCGCACUUCUUCGAGCGAUGCUUAAAACAUGUGAACCUCUAUGUUAACUCAAGUGCCCUAAUCUGAAGAGACUUUAUAAGGGACGUAACAUAGGUUAGGUUCAUGGGUUGAGAAAUGAAAGGAUCAUCAGGCUCAAAAUGUGUGUAAAUGGUGAGAGUUGGUGAUCAUCUUGGCAUUGCCACCAGUUUUCUUUUUCAUCAUCGGGGAUUGUCUUCAUGAAAUGCCCUAUUGAUUGUAAAAACUCAACUUUUGAGUUCUUUGAGUAUUGCUCCAUUGGAGAUACAAUCUUUUUACAACAGAUAGUCUUUAUCUUGACUCUCUUUUUCAUCUAUGGGCAUCAUCUACCUUGCUUUUAUCAAGCACACUGUUUUUUCAUGCCCCUAGUUCUUGUUCAUUUUUUCUUCACUUUUUUUCAUGGGCAUUGGCCUUGCUUUUACCAGGCACACUGCUUUUUCAUGACCUUUAAUUCUAUUUUGAUUUCUAUGCAUGUGUCAAGCAAUUACACUUUGAAUGACACUCGAACUUUUCAAAAGUCUUCAUCUGCCUUUUGCCUUGCCCCAAUGUGGGGGAUGAUCACCAACUGGGUUUAAAGAAAUGAAAUUGCAGGCUCAAAUGGGCUAUGCAAAGGAUAUAAGUGUAUAUGAUAGAGAAAGAAAUGCUCUUCAUCAUCCUAAGGCACUUAAAUUAACACAUGAAUUCAAUGUAAUAGCAUGACUAGAAGAUUGAUGCAAGUGAGAGCAAGAAAUUUCUUUUCAUUUUCCUCACCUCAUGAUGCCAUUUGAUCUCUUAGUUGCCCCGAUGUGGGGUGAUUCUUGACAGGGGUGAUUUGAAAAGAAUAUCCAUAAGUGUAUGGGCUCAAAAGGGUUAAGCAACGGAUCACCUGUAGUGUUUGGGAUAGAGAUAUGAAUUGCCUCUCAUCAUUUCGGUUGCCGUACCUUUUGCGAGAGAACUCUUUACCUUAUGAAUACGAACCUUCCUACACUCAUCUCACAAGUGUAUGAAUAUGGGACUGUGUAUAGGAUAGGACUUACCUUAUAGCAACGAAAGCAUCUGCGUUGUUAGUUUAGAAUUCACAUCAGCAGUCCUAGAUAUGAUUUCUAAUUAACACGCAGAUGCUUUCGUUGCUAUAAGGUAAGUCCUGCAAUUUAUUCAUUUGCUUUCUUGAGUGUUAAAUUGAUGGUUUGCGCACCUGCAUUAUCACCUCACAUGUUAGAAUUUAAAAUCAAUUCAAGCUGCCUGCAAAAAAUACAAUUUUGAAAUUAAAAGAAUGGUACCGAAAGGGCAUUAGAGAAAUCUAGUGUAAUCAAGUCCCCGUACCCUUAGUCUCUGGUUCGUAGGAGUAAAGUAAUUCUCCCAUUAUUUUACUUAGGUGUCUAAUCGACCUACCAUAAACUGAUUAGUGGCGACUCCUAAAUAAAAUCAAUUUGCAUGUUAAGAAUUCAAACCUAAGUCGCGAAUUGGUAUGGGCUUGGGAGAGCCCGCGUUAAGUCUAGGCUUAACAAUCCAUUAGCCAAACCCUAGGUGGUUCACACUCUGAAAAAAAAUUGGGUCGCGACAGCUUGGCGACUCCGCUGGGGACUUGAGUUGAAAUUCUUAGUGGACUUAGGCCAAUUUUCUUUUUUGAAAAAAUGCUUUUGUUUGGCAGCGAGGAUUCCAGGUACGUCCCUAACAUUUAGGUGUUAAAUGUUCUUGUAGGAUGGGAGGUAUAAGGGGAAGUGUUUGUUAACCUUUGUUUUGCAGGAAGGUGUAGGAAUGUAUGGUUUAUUUUCAUGAACGAAGUGUUGCUUGAUAUAAACUGUCGUGCAUGCCUUGCAUCUAGCACUACACUAUUGCACACACAGCCUGCCGCCGGACCUGGGCCGCACAGGAUCUUUUAGGAUGGUGUUGAGAUGGAUACCACUCCAACCGCAUGCUCGUGGUACGAGUCGCCCAUCUCAAUCCCGAAUUUUCUUUCAUGGUGUCAAGAGUACCCACCUCGGUCUGCAUGCUCGCGACCCGGGUCGGCUCUUUGACCAAGCCGGAGUCAUGAGGACCCGACAUAGUCCACAAGCCCGUGGCUAGUCUGAUCAUCCUUGUGGCUCCACCUUGAUAAGCCUUAUAGAUUAGAAAUCGAGCCACUUACCAUGCGCAUGUCUAUGUGAUUGCCAUUGAUUUUUCUUGGUAAAGUAAGUUUUCUAUCCCUAUACCGUGCAAUUUAUUUUGUCAUGCUUUUGGUCUGUCCAUGACAAUUUAGGAUAGUCAUUCCUUUCAAGAAUGAAAUGAGGAAAUUGCCAUGCAAUAAAUCAUUUGGAAAAUAAAAAAAAACUUUGAAGAAUUUGUUUUCAAUUCAUGUCUAGAAAAUUUGAUCUUACUAGGAUGUCUAUUUUUCUAGCUCUCUUUAGGAAAUUCCCUCAUUGUAAGAGCUCUUCAUAAAAAAUGAUGAAAAAAAGUUGAUAGAUCAUUGUCAUGGGUUGAUUCUUUAUUUGCACCUUAUACUUAUAUAUUUUCAUUCAUUUGGAUUAGGUGAUUAUGAAGCGAUCUCGCUCACCCAUCCGUACACGGUCGAGAGCUAAAAUGGCGGAUCGAAAUGAGGUGCUGGACCGUAUCAUUGACAAUAUGAACAAGCAAAUUGCACACCACCAAAGUCAAAUCAAUGAAUUGUUUGCUACUGUGACUUUUCUCAUCAAGCAAAAAGGCUGCGAUGACAUAGGUACUCCAUCUUCAAUAAGAAUCUGCGACUCGAAGAAGAGAGCCAAGAGAACUUUUGAAUCGUCUCAUUUUCCCGAGGUAGCUGAAUUUGAUGCCACCAUGAAGAGACUAGUGACAUAUCUAGAAGGAAGAAUCUCUGACUUGAAGGGUUCACAUCACACGAGCAAGGAGGGUGAAGAACUCAAGCAUACAUGAUUCAUGGUCCUAAGUAGUUCACUUUCCUUGUUUAAUUAAGGGCAUGCUCGGUUACACCUCCCCUGCAUGGGAAUUCUUAUUGCUUUUUAGGAAUUCUUUUCGCUUUCUAGGAAUCAUUUUCGAUGUUUUCUCUUUUUAGAGGGUAGGAAUCACAAUUUUCAUUCCAAUAAUGUAAUUCAUUUGAUUCAAUUCAAUGAAAUUACAAUUUUAUUUCAAAUUUUGAGGACAUGAUGGGGUACCCCAAACCAGUCCAAUGACGAUAUCCAACCAUGAAAAAGAAAAAUAUCAUCCACGGAGAAAUCUUGAGGGUUGGACUUUUUCAUGCUUCCUCCCAAAAAGCAAUACACUAUUGCACACACAGCCUGCCUAAAUAAUGCAAAAAUGUAUUUUUUGAUGGUUUGCGCACCUGCAUUAUCCAUCUCAACACCAUCCUAAAAAUCAAUGGUAUCCAUCUCAACACUCAUCUCAACAAUAGUCUAGUUAUCUCGAGAGUGAUCGGCUCUGAGAAUAACCCUAUAGACGCGUCAAUGAAAUGCCCGAUUUAUUCAGUAGAAGACAGGGUUGAAAAUUUGGGAUGUCACACAAUACGUUAAUAAUGCACCAUUAAUGAUCCAGUUGUUCCAAUCAAGUCUAAUAGGCCCUGCCCUGAGGUGGUACAUUACAAAGAACAUGAAUCUCCUCGAAGCAUGGAGCGAGGUGAGUGAGGCAUUCCUCAAGCAGUAUAAGUUCAUAAUGGACAUUACCCCUUCUCGUGAGGACCUUGAGCGAAUCGAAAAGAAAAAGCAUGAAUCGUUCAAAGAAUAUACUAUCCGGUGGAGGAAUAUGGCCACCCAAAUCAGUCUUGAACCAACCGAUUUUGAGCUGAGAAAGAUGUUUAUCAAAACCCUCCCUUACGAGUACCGCAAUCGAAUGGUAACCACGAUCGCCGAAUCAUUUAAUCAACUCAUUCCAGUAGGGGAGCAAAUCGAGAUAGGCUUGAGGGAUGGUUGGUUCACUGAACUUGCAUCCACGGGCAGGUUCAACAUGAAGAAAGAUAAAGAACCCCUGGUAGAUGUCAAUGUGACCUAUAAUCAUUCUCCGACAAUUCAGACAAGUGCAAGACAGCAACAGACCAUCAGCCAUCAGCCAUCCCAACGUUACAGUAACAAGAGACAAUUUACUCCUCUUCCUGAAUCUCCGUCACAAGUACUGGCAAUCCUCCGGAAGAAGAACCUCCUUUCGAUUGAGCCAAAGCGACCCAAUGAUGAAAGUUUUUCCAACUAUGACUCGUCAAAGAUAUGCGACUAUCACAUGGAAGAAGUGGGGCAUUCGACUGAUGAGUGCUUUGCCCUCAAGAGUCGAACACAGAACCUGUUAGAUACUAAAGCUUUCUCAUUCCAGAGCAAUUCGCUCCCUGAUCACACCGACAAAGUAAAUGCGGUAUUCAGUUCUGAAGACAGUCAGAGCAAAAAUGUCGAAGCACAUACUGCUGACAUUCAUCAAGGGCUGGUGAAAGCCGGGUAUUAUUCAGGCAAUGAAGUGCCACCCUUAGCAAUAGAGAAAGAAGGGCCAGAUGACAUGACCACCAUGUUUGGAGGCCUUUUCAUGGACACCAUCAAUGAAGGACCGUAAGGGGAAAUGGGUGCAGGCCCGCUCGAGUAGAACCCUUUUUAAUUUCCUUUCGUAUUCCCCUACGUGGGAACUUGUACCUCUUUCUUAAGUCUAGCUUGUUUUUAUUUUCAACAUCAGUUCCGCUUGAGGAACUAACUUUUGAAAACACUUUUCCAAAAUGUAAAUCCACCUAUUAAAUAAAGUUGAAAAUAUUUUGAGAGCAUGAGGCGGUAUCCCAAACCUGCCCAGUGAUGCUAUCCAACCAUGAAAAGAAAAUAUCAUCCAAGGAGAAUACUGAGGGCUGGGCUUCCUCAUGCUUUUUCUCCCCCGAAUACAUAUUUUGAAAACAAAAAACACUUCAUCACCAAAAUCUUUCAAAAAAGAUGAUAAAUUUAAUCUUGUUUGUCUUUCUGACUCACUCACUUCAUGUCUCAGAAUAUCAUCCCCUUUGACUUAGUGUGACCAAGGGACAUUUGAACCUGGCACAUCAUGUGAACUCGCCAAGUUCAAAAGCACUAUUCCAAGAAAGCAGGGGCAAACAGAAAAGAUCCCGUUUCAAAAGGGUAAGUCCUAUUCCAUGAACAUAAUGUCGAAAAUGACGUCCUCUCUCUCUUCUAUCUACAGAAGACAAAGGAUGAGACGUAAUAGGCACAGGCAUACUAUUGAACUUGAAGCAUGCAUAAUAUGAUAGCUUAAGGCAGGAUGCUGUGGUUUCAUCAAUGAGAUUUCCAGCUUUGACAAGCCAAGAAGCACAAGAAAUGGAUCUUUUCUCUUUCUUUGAAUUGGCUACUGUCAACAGGGAGAAAAUCCAAACAGUUGAAACGAUCUCUAACCCCUAUUCAGACGAUGGCUUGGGGCUUAAAAACCUCACUUCAUGCUCCAGAUGCAUGCUCUCCCAAGAAGUAAUUGCCAUCAAAGAAUUGAAGAUUUUGAUUGUCCAUAUCAGAUUCCAUAGAAGCUUGAGGUACAUGACUUUGCCCAAUGGCCAUAUAGUCAAAGACAGAAGAAAAAUUCCAAAGAAGGAAGGCGUUGAAGAUAAAUCGACAACCAUCAAUCAUGCAUACAUGGUCAUGAGUGAGGAAGGCCAAUCGAAAGAAAUGUCAAACUGUGUCAAGACGAAAAGGCUGUCAUCGACAUUCAAAUAUCCCUAGGAGAUAGCAAAUACAAACUUUGGAGAAGAGUAAUUUGGUAUUGUUUCCAAUACUCCCCACUCUUUGAAUUCGCUUUUGACGUAUUUUCCCUAUUGACAGGAAACAUUGGGAAUCAAAAACCAAACUUGAUGGUCAAUAUUGGCCAAGUGAGGUUCAUGAGAAUGACCCGUAUCGAAUUCACCUGACUCUAUGUAAAGAAGGACAUGUCAUCCAUGUGACAUCCCAAUUUUCCAAUUCUGGUUUCAAUUAAAUAAGUCGGGCAUUUCAUCGUCGCGUCUAUAGCUUUCUUCUCUGAGUUGGCCACUCACGAGAUAACUAGUCUAUCAGGUGAAGCCGUUAAGGAAUCUAAACGCAAUAGACUUGAGAAUUCGACCAGGAAACGACUGCUCGACCGUACUAAUCUGCAGAGUCAUUACAGCACAAACCGAUUAGAGACCGGAGAUAGGUCGAUUCAACAGAACCAUGUAAUUCAGUGUGGGUGAUUCCACCUAAUUGCACAAUUCUUGUUGAUCGGCACUAGACCGAUUUCUCUAUCGUCUUGGUACCCUGUGUCCGUAUUUGAAAUCUCGAGAUUUCUACGACAAUCGAGAGUUGCCAAUGUGUCGAAGAUGCUUGUGGCUUGAAAAUAAUCAACCACAGGUCAAUUGCACAGAAAAUUCCUAAAAGCUACCCGGUAGAUUAGGACGUGCUAAAGUCGCGCCAGAUUGAAUUUAACCGAGAAAUUGAACCCGAUUACAGAAAUUGGAAGUUCUGUCAAGUCACAAUUCAUUUUAGGAAUGUCGACUCGUCUCCAGAAGAUUUUUCUAGAAACCGAGAUUUUUGGCAGAAAAGCAAAGUAAGGCCAUUUUUUUGUUCGGAAUUGUCAGAAGGUCAUUUUUGAUUGAAUCUUCGGGAUGCAAGUUGGAUCAUUUGAUGGGAAAAAGUCAUGAGACGGACAAGGAUACCUUGAUGGAUUUAAUUGGGCUUCAAUUGGAUGUGUUUGGUUGAGAAUUGGAUGAAAUUGAUUGAGAUUGAAGAGGGAAAUGUAACAAAUUCGUAUGCCAUGGGGGGAGAACUAUUUUGCACCUAUUGGCAAGGUUGUGGAGGAAGCUUGAGGAGAGAGAGUGGCUGAGGUCAUGUGAUGUCAUGGUGGGGGCAAAGCCAAUGAGAGAAUGGCAAGUGUUGAGCUCUAAAGAGCCCAAGGAGACCCCCCUUGCUCAGCAGCCUUCUUCUCCCUUAAUUUGUGGCUUUCUCCAUUGUUGUUGAAGGAGAGAAGCUCAGCAAAAACCAGAGGAACCGAGCAGCACCAGCCCCUCCAUCGUCGCACGCCCGGAAGGCCAUCGUCGGCCGUUUUCCUCCCCUGUUUUCUCCUCGUUCCAGUUUCUGCUCCAGCCGACCUUUCGCCAAAGAUCCGAGUAAAAAGUUAACUUCCCGGUUGAAUCAGCAAACGCUCCACCCACGUCCGUGACGAGGACAUCCAUUCCGUUCCGGAGAAUCCCGCCGAUCGUCGGAACGAUUCUCCGACUGUCCCGAAAUCCUGAGAGAAUCUACCGCUCGCCGGACCGUCUGGUUCCUCCCUGCUCCGCCUGUUCUGCGUUUUCUUGCUGUUUCGCCCCUUUCCGACCCUUCCUUUGCCCAUCCCAACCUCCUAUAAGAUCCCCAAGACCCCCGGGAGCCGCCGGUUGCCAACCACCCGCUUGCCAGAGCUCCGAUCGGCCCGUUUUCGCCGUUGAAGUUGCUGGUUUCUUCUCUGCAGUUCAGCCCAGAUCAGAAGCAGAAGACAGCAAGGUUUUGGAGACUUCGUGGCCCGUUUUCAGUGUCUUCCCGGCCUCCAUUGGUGUCGCCGCUUUGGGGCUUAUCAACCGCCUUGGUGUCGUGGUCGCCGUGAACUCACCGGCCCGCAAAACCGGUGAGUUUAUCCUCUAAUUCUUGCUUAGUGAGUUAAUGAUACUUAAGGGGUGUUUAGAUUAGUCUAAUUAGGUUUAGGUGGUUAGAUUAGAUUAUUUUAAUGUAAAUUAGAUUAGUUGUAUGAUUAGCUUAAUGGAUGUUUAAUUUAGGGCUAAUUGUAUGAUUAAAUUAGUGUAAUCUUGUUUAAGCCCUAAUUAAUUAUUUUUAAUUAAUUAUUUAUUUCGAAUUUAUAAUUAUUAUUUUAUUAAAUUAUAUUAUUAUAAUAUAAUAUUUAAUUAUUUAAUUUUCGGAAUUAAAUUUAAUUAUUUAAUAAUUUCGAAAAUUAUGCCGGGAUGGCCGGUCGUUAGAAUUUCGCGCUGAUCGCAGCAAUGCGAUCGGUUUGUGUUAAUUGUAUGUUUAAAUUGAGAAAUUGAGUGAUUGAUGAUUAUGGUUAAUAAUUCCAAAAGUGUGGAAUUGUGUGAAAUUGAUGAAGUUUUGGUAUUUAACUUGAAAAUACCCGGUGUUGGCUUUUAGCACCGUAAUUGGUUUGUAUGACCAGUUUGAAUCGAUUGGAUUGAUUGACUGAUUGAAUUAAGGUAUGAGUUGGUUUAUUUUUGAAUUAUCAGCUUGUGAGAGCAAUGAUUGUUUAUCAGCUUGUGAGAGCAACGAUCCAUAUAUCAGCUUGUGCGAGCUAUCAUCUAUGUAUGUAUCAGCUUGUGCGAGGUACCAUCUAUAUCAGCUUGUGAGAGCAUUGCAUCCAUUUCAGCUUGUGCGAGCCGUAAUUGUAUUGAUGGAUGAAUAGAUGGUAUGGUUUAAUAGAUGAUAUGAAUUGAUAGAUGUGUGGAUCGUAUGAUAUCAAUUGGAUUGACUGAAUUGAUAGACCGAUGGGUAUGUCGGUAGUUUCAGCUUGUGCGAGCAUUGUUUGAAUAUGAAUUGUACUGACGUGUAGGAAAGGGACUGAGGCGAGGUAAGCCCUCUAUCCUAUUUGUGUGGCUAGAGCGCCCUGAGGCGUAUUUUCUUCCUAAUUGAGUUUUAGAUCGUAGGACUCGCUGAGACAUAGUCUCAUCCCGGUUGUGGGAUAAUAUUUCAGGUCCCUAGAUGACAGUCGUGGAGGACCGGAAGUCCUGGAGUUCGGAAGGUGGAGGCUGAAGAAUCGGUGAACGUGUCUGACAAGUUGGUCAUAGGACAGUUCCCUAGUUGUUGAGCCUAUCUAUUUUGUAGACAAUCCGGUGUUGUAUAUAAACCUAUGUGUUUAUAAGAAAGCUUGUUUGGUUGUGAUUGAUUGCCUGCUUUUCUAUUCCAAGUUAAAUGUUGUCAGGGGAUUUGUUUCGCUUCCGCAUGCAUAAUAAAAAUGAAUGGGUCGGCGACGUGUCCUGGGAAGUCGCAUUUGUAUCGACCAAAGUGGGAUGUUCGCGCGCUUGGAGGAUCGGGGCGUGACAAUCCAAGAGCCAAUUCUGAGAAUAAUUGACUUAACAAAGCAAGGGAUAUAAGACUUCGUGUCCCCAUCUCACUUCAGGUUCACCCAAUCGUCUGCAAACCAAUGAAAGGUAAAGUUGUAUCGAUUCAAGUUAUUCGACUCUUGAAAGAGUUCAUGACCAACACAUUCCCUCUUGUUUGUUGCAGGAUCACCUGACUGUCAAAAGCAAGGAUAACAAAUCAAUGAGAAGCAUGUCUUGUUGUAGGAUCACUUGACUGUCAAAAACAAGGAUAACAAAUCAAUGAGAGGCAUGACAAACUCUCCUAAACGAAAUGGCGUCCUGAGUAAUCGCCAAAGCAAAUGACAGAAAAUCUUCAGACCUCAACUCACAUUUGAUUUUGGCCAGACUAAUUGAUCUACUUGUACAUCUUCUCUUCUGCAGGGGCAAAAGCAGAGAUGCCCGAUCAGAUUCCCAACCCCGACUGAUCAUUCAUGUGUCAUAUCCCUAAUCAAUAAGGACAACCAUCGACACCCAUUUGCAAAUAACCCUUUUGAUGUUCAAAAUUUAACAUAUUUGGAAACACCAUUAUGUUAGCCCCUAAAGUUGUCAAUAGGGUCUUUUUUGAGUCAAAACCAUUCACUUGUUUUGAAGAGUCCAAACUCCAUCAUAUGCAAAAUGUUGCAUGUCGUUUCCAGAUGAAUUCUACAUGAUGAUUUUGUCUAUCUGGAUCACUGAUUCCACUGAGGACUAUUAGAAUAGACAGCUAAGUGAAGAAUACAAGAUUAAUCGAGCAUGCUAGAUAAGGCGCGUCAGAAUGAUGAAAGGCAAGCCAUAUCCUACACACAAUCCCCCCCAUCUAUACACUUGUGAGAUGAGUGCAGAAGAUUCCAUGACUGCAGGAUAAAGAGUUCUCUUGCGAAUGGUACGAUAACCAAAGCAGUGAGAGGCAUUUCAUUGCUCACCCCUUUGAGCUCCUUACACUGGCGAAGCUUCUCUCAUAUCCUCGUCAAGAACCACCCCACACUAGGGUAGAUCAGAGACAAAGCAGCAUCACAAGGUGAGAAGAGAGAUAGAAAUUUUCUUGCUCGCACUUGCAUCAAUCUUCGGGUGUCCUUAUUGCAUAUGAACACUCACGUUAAUUUAAGUGCCCUAGAAUGACGAAGAGCAAUUCUUUCUCUAUGCACUUGUAUUCAUUGUACAACCCAAUUGAGUCUGUAAUUUCACCCUCACAUGGAGGCAAAACAGAAGUUACUGCCAUUUAAGCAGCAUAGCCCAGAGCGCCUACUGAAGAUGAAGACUCAAGAGUCUAAUAACGGUGCUUCGAUUGAACUUGCCUAGGCCAGUUCCUCCAACGACAAGAAUGAAAAAAACAUGGGCAUAAAAAAGCAGUGUGCCUGGUAAAAGCAAGGUCAAUGCCCAUAAAUGAAGAAUUGGAAUAAAAAUAGGGGCAUGAAAAAGCAGUGUGCCUGGUAAAAGCAAGGCCAAUGCCCCCUAGUCAAAAAUGCAGCCAAGAAAAUGUUGUUGUUGUGGUCCAUAGAACCUCCAUUUGACAGUGGGAAGAAAGACUGGUGACAAAUGCCAAGGCAAUCACCAGCUCUCACCCUUUUACACAUGAAUCAAGCCUACAUUACAUCCCAUUGUAAAAGUCUCUUCAGACUAGGGGCACUUCAAUUAACGUAGGAUUUCAUAUGUCUAUAAGCAUCGCUCGAAGAAGUACGAGCAAGACUAUUCUAUCUCUUUUCGCAUGACUCUUGACUUGCAAACCCGGAGAUGAUCGUGCAACAUUUUCAUCCAUCGGCUUCGACCUUGACGGUCCCCUCUGAUGAGCCGCUGACGAAGACUUCAUCACAGUUUCGACAAAGACCUCUCACAUUGGUAAAGUCGUACUGUUUGCGAGAAUACUCAGACCCCUGCUGACAUGAUGACAGUGAGAAGUGUGGUCCUUAUAAAUCCUGCAUCAAUGGUCAGGAUAGCCUUUUCCAUAAGAGUGAGUGGAAAGUCCUUUCAGACUGAAAGUCCCUCAUCUGGCAUGCUCAAGACAUCUACAUUCUAAAUGGAGGUUGUCUUUCAAAAUUUUCCCCAGUGGAACUCAGAUGAUGCAAAACUGACAAAAUUAUCAUGCAUUAAUCCCAUUUGAACUCAUGAAUUUACAUCAUAUACAAUCAUGUGUGCAUAUUGUGCAAAUAGCAGACAUACUCUCAGAGAUCAGAGAUAUUGCCAAGUAAGCAUAUUUCUAUCCCCAUUUGUCUUAAAGUACCUACCACUUGCCGGGUACUCCCUCUUAUCGACACUUGACCUAUUCGAGUUGUCCCCAGAGUAUUGAUACUUGUGACUAACCAAGUAUCCCUUUAUCGUUGAAUACCUACUACUAUCUAGGUAUCCCUAUUGUCUUUGAGUAUCAACCACCGUUCGGAUACUCCCUUUCCCUGACACUCGACCUGUUCGAGUUGUCCCCAGAGUAUUGAUACUUGUGACUGACCAAGUAUCCAUUUAUCUUUGAAUACGUAAUGUUGUCUAAGUAUCUCCAUAUCAUCAAGUACCCACCACCGUUCAGGUACUCCCUUUUCAUGACAAUCAACUCACUUGAGUUGUUCCCAAAUAAUAGUAGUUGUUCAAGCAUUCCACUGCUUUGUGUGCCUGUGCCUGCCCAGGUAUGUUUUCUUACAUUUGGACCAGCCUGAGUGGUCCCAGAUCGUAUCAUCAAAUACUUGUAUUCAUCCAAGUAUUCCAGUACUUUGUACACCUGCGACUACCCAUGUGUUCCAACCCUUUUGAGUGCCUGUGGCCAUCCAGGUAAGCCUUGUGCUACACUCAAGUUUAUGUUGCCAGGAGGUGGGAGACCUUCACGAAUAUGCGAGGCACGCCCUCGAUAUUCCCAAUUACCAGGAGGUGAGAGACCUUCAUGAAUAUCCAAGGUAUGUCCUCGAUAUUCCAACUACCAGCAGGUGAGAGACCUUCACGUAUAUGCAAGACCCAUCGUUGAUAUUCCCACACGAAUAUCUCAGGUACGUCCUUGAUAUUCCAUGUACCAAGAGUUUGUACCUGUGAUCGUCCAGGUACCCCUUCGAUACUUGUGAUCAUCCAGGUAUCCCCCAAGAGUUUGUACCUGUGAUCGUCCAGGUACCCCUUCGAUACUUUUGAUCGUCCAGGUAUCCCCCAAGAGUUUGUACCUGUGAUCGUCCAGGUACCCCUUCGAUACUUGCAAACGUCCAGGUAUCCUCCAAGAGUUUGCACUUGUGAUCAUCCAAGUACCCGUCCAUUGCCUAUGAUCAGCCAAAUGCCCCUUUUUGAUGCCGGCAAAGGCCCAAAUAUCCUUCAGGUUAGUACUUGUGAAUAUCUAGGUACUCAUUGAUAUGCCUGUGAAUGUCCAGGUAUCUUCCAGAAUCGAUGCCCUGAGAAAGGUCGGGUUCCAACUGGUGUCUUCAACAAAAGUCAGACACCCAACAAAUCGAUGCCUUGAGAAAGGUCGGCGCAUCCUCCCGAGAAAGGUCGGGUUCCAACUGGUGUCUUCGACAGAAGUUGGACACCCCAUAAAUCGAUGCCUUGAGAAAGGUCGGCGCAUCCUCUCGAGAAAGGUCGGGUUCCAACUGGUGUCUUUGACAGAAGUCAGACACCCCAUAAAUCGAUGCCCUGAGAAAGGUCGGCGCAUCCUCCCGAGAAAGGUCGGGUUCCAACUGGUGUCUUCAACAAAAGUCAGACACCCAACAAAUCGAUGCCCUGAGAAAGGUCGGCGCAUCCUCUCGAGAAAGGUCGGGUUCCAACUGGUGUCUUCGACAGAAGUCAGACACCCCACAAAUCGAUGCCCUGAGAAAGGUCAGCGCAUCCUCCCGAGAAAGGUCGGGCUCCAACUGGUGUCUUUGACAGAAGUCAGACACCCCACAAAUCGAUGCCCUGAGAAAAGUCGGCGCAUCCUCCCGAGAAAGGUCGGGUUCCAACUGGUGUCUUCAACAGAAGUCAGACACCCCACAAAUCGAUGCCCUAAGAAAGGUCGGCGCAUCCUCCCAAGAAAGGCCGGGUUCCAACUGGUGUCUUCGACAGAAGUCAGACACCCCACAAAUCGAUGCCCUGAGAAAGGUCGACACAUCCUCCCAAGAAAGGUCAAGUUCCAACUGGUGUCUUCGACAGAAGUCAGACACCCCCACAAAUCGAUGCCCUAAGAAAAGUCGGCGCAUCCUCCCGAGAAAGGUCGGGUUCCAACUGGUGUCUUCGACAGAAGUCAGACACCCCACAAAUCGAUGCCUUGAGAAAGGUUGGCGCAUCCUCCCGAGAAUGGUCGGGUUCCUACCGGUGUCUUUGAUAGAAGUUAGACACCCCAACAAAUACGAUGCCCUGAGAAAGGUCGGCACAUCUCCCGAGAAAGGUCGGGUACCAAUUGGUGUCCUCGAUACAGAUCAAGCACCCACAAAUAGAUGCCCUAAGAAAGGUCGGCGCAUCUCCUGUCACGGCGACCGAAGAAUGGUUCGAGUGCGAGACAAACCACUGAUUGCUCCAACAGGCGACCGAAGAAUGGUUCGGGUCCUGGAAGAGCAAUUUCCCGUCAAGGCGACCGAAGAAAGGUUCGAGUCCUAGACAAACUAUCGAUUACUUUAACAGGCGACCGAAGAAUGGUUCGGGUCCUGGAGAAACAAUUUUCCGUUAAGGCGACCGAAGAAAGGUUUGGGUCCUAGACAAAUCAUUGAUUGUUUUAACAGGCGACCGAAGAAUGGCUCGGGUCUUGGAGAAGCAAUUUCCCGUCAAGGCGACCGAAGAAAGGUUCGGGUCCUAGACAAAUCAUUGAUUGUUUUAACAGGCGACCGGAGAAUAGUUCGAGCCUAGGAAAAGCAACCUCCUCAUAUCACCAGGUAAGAUGACGCCUUGAUACUUGCCAAACUCGGGGUUCACACCCUAUCUCACUCAUUCCCGGUAAGUAACUACAGGUAUCUUCUUAUCUGUCUUAGUAUAUGUAAAGUUAUAUUGCUCUUUUUCCGCAUAGAAUAAUAGGUCCCAAAUAAAAUAUAAUCUGCUACGCAUGCAUAAAAUUUAGGCAUCAGUCUGUCUUUGAAUGCAACCUCUGCGAGCUCACCUUCAAAGAGGGGCAGCUGUUGACGCCUCAAUUUUAAUUUGGUUUAUUAAUUAAGUUUUUAUUUUGUCUUUUUCGAAAUAAUAAACAAAUAACAAAAACAACAAAAAAAUCAAUAAAAACAAAAAGAAAAGCAAAAGCCCAGCCCCUCUCCUCUUUUCUUUUCCUUUGCGCAGGUCCGCGAGGCCCAUCCGCAACCUAACCCUGCCUGGCCCCCUCUUUCUCCUUUGUCUUCUUCCUCCCUUCUUCUUCUUCCUUCCUCCUUCUUCCGCCUCUGCAAGACACGCGCGGCAACGAAGACGCGCUCAAGCACAACCUACAACAGAGAGAGGAGCGUAGGCCGGUGGCUGAGAGGACGCAACAUUGAAGGCGAGCAUGCCUCCGUGGAAGGGGGAAGAUUUGACGCCGGUUCAGCCACACCUAGGGCCGGUCGGCGUGCGAGGGCCGACGGCCGAACCUCCGUCGACCGGCCUCCUCCUCGCCUAUAAAUAGAGGAGCGCCUCCGUCAACGAAAACAAGAGCGAGCUCCGAGAUCUUCCCACUGAGAGACUUCAGGGGAGGAAUCGAAGAGCGAGCGAGUAGAGAAAUCGGGCCGCGAGCUCGACCGACCUCCCACUGAGAGACUUCGGGGGAGGCCGCCGGCGAGCGAGUCCGAAGAGGUCAGAUCCGGCCGGUGGACGCUCGGAUCUGGCCGGAGUGAGAGAGAAGCGAAGUCGGAGGAGGUGCAGGGGUUCUGGAUUCGUGAAGACCGUCGUCGCUGCCGUCGCCGACGCAAGCCGCCGCCUCAGUUCCUCCAUAGGCGUCGCGAGUAGAGAGAGGUGGGAGAGAGAGAGAGCCGCGAACCGGAUGGAAUCGGGUCGGGCACAUGACCCGAUUCCCCUAGGGUUUUAGUCACGCAGGCUGGGAAGGGCCCAAUUUUGUUGUGGGCCUGGGCCCUUUCACCAAAAAAAAAAAAAAAAAAUCCUGGCCGGGCCCGCAUUGCAGGCCUGUCUGGGUCUUGGGUCGACGACUCAGGUCGGACCCAACCCGGGGAUCCGACCCGAUUCGUUUUUAUAUUAUUAUAAUAUAAAAUAAUAUUUAAAAAAAAUAAAAAAUAUUUUAUUUUCCAGAAAAUAAAAAAAAAUAAAAAAUCUCCAUAUUUUCCCAAAAAAGCCAAAAAAGUCAGAAAAAGCCAAAAAAUGAUUUAUAUUUCCAUAAAAAUAUAAAAAAAAUCCAAAAAAUGCUUUUUAUGUCAAAAAAAAAGAAGAAAAAGACCCAAGAAAAUGUUUUUCCUCCACAAAUGAAUGGAAAAUCCCUCAAAAAUCCAAAAAGCCUCAUGGUUUAAACAAGAUUAGGUACCGAAAGGGCAUUAGUGAUUAACUAGUGUAAUCAAGUCCCCGCUCCUAAUUUCUCUGGUUGCGUAGGAGUGAGUAUUUCUCCCGAUACUUCGCUUGGGUUUCUAAUCAACCCACUCCAAAUUGAUUAGUGGCGACUCCAUUUUAAAAAUUGAUUUACAGGUUAAAAAAACUUGGACCAUUAAGUCGUGAAUUGGUGGACUUGGGAGAGUCCGGGCAUAAUUAAUUUCAGUCGAGCCAUUAGCCUCCUUUAGGCGCUCGCCCCUGAUCGGGCAUCGAAGAAAAAAGAGGUCGCGACAAUAUGUAUCGAUAUAUGUAAAUAUGUAAUGUACAUAGCAUCCCAUUUAAUUUGUUUUGAUUCCAAUCAAUGUAAAACAAUAGAAAGGCAAUUCUUAAUAGUACGCUUCAAAUUCCUAUAUUUCUAAUUAUUUUCAAUAUGAAUAUCUGUAUCUAUCAAAAAAAUCAAAUCCAUGGGCGACGGGGGUAUGGAAUAUAGUAUAUUAAAACAGGAAAAAUUAAUUAAUUUUCUUUUAGCAUUAUGAAAAAGUAAUUAAUUGAGGAGUUAACAGAUGAUCCAAUAAGUUCUUUGAAAAUUUCUUUAGAUUUUGAAAAGGAAUAAAAUCUUGUUUUCCCUCAUCCACGAGCAUGCACGGUUUGAACUAGCCGUCCCUUUUGCCGAGUUUGAGCAUCACUUGCUGUUCUCUUUUGAGUCAGGACACGAGCUAGAGUUUAGAACAGGUCAAUGACCUCUCUUUAGUCCGUGCUCAUCGGACGCUCAAUAUAAUGCCUUAGUGUUGUUCUAAAGAUGAGACCGGGGUUUUAUUUGCUUCUGUGAAAGCAUGUCGAAGAUCUGUUUAAAUAAGUCUUCAUCGACUUAAAAUGUCUUUUGUUUGGUGCGGGAUGAAUGCGACACCAAGGUGUAGGUUCAUCAACAUGCUAUAUUACUUUUAGUUAGACACCUGAAAUCUAUUCGACGAAAUGUUUUGAAAAAAUAUGUAAGAAAUAGCUGCUGUUUCUGUUCGAAUCUGAAGGUGCUAGUCGUUAACUUGGUUUCCAUGAAUAAUGAGAUCACUACGUUGCAUUUUGUUUGAUAUAUGUUGUGUCUCCUUCAUUGAACGGGAUGAGUUGACGGUGUGAUGGAAGACGUCAGAAAGUGAGCUCGUUUUAUUUCGGUGGUGGUCCAUGCUGGUCGGAACGGAUGAUUGGCGGGGUGCGGUGGUGUAAGCUCCGGCACCCGAGGAGGAUGUUGUGAUGCCUGGGUGUAUGAGUUCGAAAAAUGAAAGAGAAGAAGUUGCAGAGUGAAAGCUUCGGAGGAAGAAGAUGACCAUAAGAAAAGGACAAAACAGGGGGAAAGACAAAAAGAGAAAAGAAAAAAUAAUAAAUGAAACAUUUAAAAUUGGGUUUUUUGCGGACGCGGGUCGGAUCCAAGUUGUCGGUUGUGUCAACGGUCCGGAUUUAAUUAUCUCGUCCGAACCCAUUUUCCCAAAUAUAAUAAUAUCAAUUAUUAAAAAGUUAAACCACCCGUGGUGGCGACGUGGUUGGUUAAGCACUUGUUCCUAUUCACGAGAGGUCUAGUGUUCGACUCCCUACGUCGUCUGCCUUGUUGGAAAGGAAUUCACGACUUACCCAGUAGGCAAGGGUGGUGGUGACUCUACCUGCUCCAGGGUUUACCUCGUUGGGUUGCCGGUUUACAAGGGUUCCUUGGAUUACAAAAAAAAAAAAAUUAUUAAAAAAUUAAAAAAAUAUUUUUAAAAUGUAAAGUUAAAGAAAAAUUAAUAUUAAUAAUGAUAUUAAAAAUUAUAAUAAUAUAAAAUGCUAAAAAUCGAAACAUGAUCAAGUAUUGUUUUCUCCACUUGAGCUCAGGCUCAAGUCAACUCAAUCCUCACAUAACUAGGAGUCAGUAGGCUUAGCAAUAAAACUUGGCAGUAAAAUCACGUAAGCUAGUCAUCCAGUAGUUACUUCAUGUGAAGGACAAAAAAUGCUAAGCAUACACCACGGUUAUACAAAGAGAAAAAGGCAAAGAAAGAAAGUUGUGGCAUACCAUUUUGAGUAGAACAAAUUCCUCCAUAAUCUUCAAAGCUCAAAACCAAGAGUCAGUCGAAGAAUCGAUGACAACCAAAUGAGAAGGGGAAAUGGACGAGAUCUGCAUGGCAAUAUGACUGCCAAACUAAUAAACACUACAUCAAAAUAAGGCACGUAAUUAUCGUCCCUUCAAUAGAACAAGGAACCUCUACAACACAAUUUAAGUACUAAAUUGGCUAAAAAUAAAAUAAAAUUGCCAAUAUUUCACAGUUUUAUGAUGUGCAAGAAUAGUCCGAUUUCUCUGGAAAUAGGAAGCCAUGUAGAGAAGACCCCAAAAUUACACAAAAGGUGAUAGUGCGAUGUCAGUAAUCAAUCUGAUCAAUGCUUUUUCUUGUCACAUAAAUGUCCAAAGCGAGAUAUAUGCAUGAAUUAUCAAAUUCUAUAACAAAGGGCCAAAUCACUGAAUUGUUCUUUCAACUAAACUAGUCCAAUCAAUUUAUGGUGGCUUCCCUUCAAACUUUACAAACCAAAGCAAGACAGCUAUGACUACAUAGACAUUCUAUCUAUUCCUCUAUGAUCGACCCAUUUCUGACUUCCUUCCAACAUCACCAACAAAUUCAGCAGACCAAGCAUUUUGUAAAUGACUUACGCAUUUGUCAACACUUAUCAACUGAAAAAGAAUGUCUCUGGUUACGAAUUGACAGUCUCAUGAGGCAAUAGCUCAAUUUCUUGAGUGAAGUAAUCCCAACAAAGCAAAGGAAGAUUUGAGCUGUUAUCAUUUCGAUCAAUCAAACAUAUUUUCUCAACAAAAUUGACAAUUUAUUCCUUAGAUUUGAUGAGGUUUCUAUGUUAUGUUAGGAAGGGAGGGAAAGAGAGAUGAACUAACCUUUUUCAUAGUAACUAGAAGAGAAGAGCGAAGUAGCACAAGGAGAAGCUCUAAAUAUAAGAAAUUGUGAAAAAGAGUACUUUUUCUGCAACAUAUACACAAUCUUAGUUAAUAGUAAAGUCCUUUUGUAUAUAUUGAACUGAUCAUAACAUUCUUUAUAUUUUGUAAAGUUUUGCAGCCAAUGUGUCAAUAGUUUUCUUUACUUGUGAUAACUUUUCUCAAGCAAAACAAAUUUGACGGAUUAUGUUUUUGCCCUCUCUAUUUAGCUAUCCACUUUUAAUGUAAGACCGAUCUCAUAAAAGAGAACUUUGACUUAUGAAGUUUCCAUGACAAUCAUAAUGUUUUGUGCACAAUAGAAUAAUAGUAAAGUAUUGUUGGAAACGCUAAUUUUUCAAUUUUUUUUUAAAAUCGUUCCAUUGAAAUAUGAAUAUUAACGUAUAUAAAGGUAAAAUCGUAAAUUAAAGAAAAUGUAUUACUUUGUCAAUUUUUUUGUUUUGCAGAUAAACAGCAACAGAAAAGAAAUUUGAGAUACGCAUCGUAAAUCUAAAACUUUUAGUACGACAUGGAAGCUCGUGUUUGCAAGGGGAGCCUUCACACCAAACGAACCCAAGGUUGUCAAAUGACUCAAAUGAAACCAAAAAAAAGUCGUUGGGCGGGUCGAAAAUAGAACUUAAACAAACUUCAGGGGCGAAAACGGAAUUGUCAAAAAAAGAAUUGAAAAAUAUGGCUCCAAAUCUCUUCGAGCGUGCAUGUUUGUGUUCUAUUUUUUUGUUCAUGAACAGAUUUUCUGUUUUUUUGUUCCCGGGAACAAAAAAAGAACAGAAACGCAUUUAUUUACGUUUUUGUUCAAAAUCUGUUUUUUUGUUCCCGGAACAAAAUUAGAACAUAAAUAAGAAACAAAAAAAGUUAUUUUUUUGUUCCAGAAACACUUUUAAAGAAACACUUUUUUCUCUCUCAUUUUUUUCUUCUCUUUUUUUUUUCUUUUUUUUUCUUUGACCGGUCGCCGGAGCGUUGCCGGCCCCUGGCGAGGCUCGGCCUCGCCUUAGCUGGGCGAGAUCGGGCUAGCCCAGCCAAGGCGAGGUCGAGCCUCGCCGACGCGGGAAGAGGCUCGGCGAGCUCGGGCUUGCCCAGAUCCGACGAGGACGAGCCUCGCCCAACCACGGCGAGGCUUGGCCUGGCCAGGGGCUGGCGAGCCUCGUCGUGGCUGGGUGAGGCCGCCGGCCCUCGUCGGCUGGUCGCCGGCCAUGGCCGAGGCCGGCGACCGGCCAAAAGAAGAAAAGAAAAAAAAAAGAAAGAAAGGAAAAAUAAAAUAAAAAUUUUAAAAAAAUUGAAAGAAACAAAAAAAGAAUAUAAAUUUACCAAACGUGUAAACAAACGCACCAUCCAUUCUCUGGCGUACAAAAUUGGAAAACGAAAAACAUCAUUCCCGCUAUCGCUGGGAAGGUUCUGGAACAAGAGCACUUCGAGCUCACUUGAAUAUCCGAUUCGAGACUAGAGAUCGAUUUGAUUCCGACUCAGGCAUCAUCAAUUGAUCGAAUCGCUUGAACAGGUUGAGGUUUCAUGGGAGGGAGCGGGGCUCGGAAGUAGAGAAAGCUCGGUUGCUGAGCUCGGCUCUCGAGAUCGGAUUCGACGAACAGUCCGCCAACAAGUGCUCGGGCCAUCUCGUUUCGCGCUCUACGGUGACUUGAAUCGUUAUUUCGUUGUGUGUUCUUAUGCUAAUUAGCGUUUGCGGAGACUAUGGAGGUGGCUCUCGUCCCCCACGAUGAUGAUGAUGAUGGCUGUGGAAUCAUCUUGCUUUAGGUUUGAAUGCAUCGGAGCGGGUUUAGUGAAGUAGCAGUCCUUUUGACGAGCUAAAUGUCCGGCACUGGUCCAGCUUGAUGCGCUUAGGUUACUUCGGAUGGACCGCGGUUUUUUCUUGAUUAUUGGCCCAAAUUGCGUGAUAUCUGGUCAUCGAAUGAAUGACUUUAAUCGCUUGGGUUGCGGGGAUAGUUUGUGCAUUUGAUUGAACGUGCAUUCCUACUUAAGGAGAUUCAUUGCAGUUAGUCUAGAUUCUAAUGAUGGCUUUGGAAUAACGGUCUACUUUGGAUUUGAAUGGGACCGGAGUGUAGGUCAUUGAGCGUUAGUCUUAUCCCCUGUUUCUUUGUGGGUUUGGCGGAGUAGUCCUAUUGACAAGUGAACUGUCUGGCUUAUAUCACUGCAAAUUACUUGUGGUGUCUUGCAGCAAUAUCAAUAUCAUGUCUCUUUGAACUAAGUGCAAAUUACGUAUUGGAAAUUGUAUUUAUUUGAUCUCUUGUUUGCUAUGGAUCUAGCAAAAUCAUCUCUUUAUUCUUUUGCUUUUCUCAAGGUGAUGAAGGUCGAGAGUCGAUCACCGUGGAGCGCUGUGGUGAUGACAUCCUAGCAGAACUUGCUGAAACCAUGCAAGAUUCUUACUAUUGGGAUGAUUUGCAAGCUGCAGAAUCAGAAGCUCGUGGAGUUUUGACCAAUAUGUUUGGCCAAGAUAACUGUAAUGAUGGUGAAUGCAAUUUUAUACACGAUGUCAAUAUUAUAGAAGAUUCUCCACUAUGUGUGAAAAAUCAAAUUUUCCUUGAGGUGAGGAUUCCUCUACUGACAGUGAAGACAAAGAUGAUGUAUUGGGCAGUAAAACGGGAAGGAAAUCCUCAUGUGUAUUCCUGGCCAAAGCAGUACUCUACAUCGACUCAAAUUCUGGGCAGACAAUCUUUAGAAUCCAUGGUAUGCUUCUCCCAUGGACAUAGACAAUACUGCCAAACCACUUAAAUUAGCGUGUGACUGUACUUUUCUCUUAUAAUUUAUUCUCUGCUUGAUCAUUUCCAAUUUGCUUGUGAUUCUGUACACAGCAAAAGACCUACACAAUGUUCAUGUCCAAAAGCAUUUAGUAAAUUGCUUAUGGGGUCUCUCAUCCAAUCAAAUGUCCAACAGACGGUCAUAACUUUUGCCACUCACUUCCACACUCUUCAAGAUCCAAAAUUACAUAUUAGAACUCUUUGGUCAAUAAAGAAGUUGAUUUCAGUUUUGGAUGAUGUACAAAUACAUAUAUUUCUCAAAUUCUAUGGGAGUACAGCAGAUCAUCAAAGUGUGGAACAUCAAAGUGUGGAACUUAGCAAUCCAGCAUCUUUGAUAGGAAUGUUUUGUGUAGAUGAAGGCUUGUGAUUUCUUUGAGCACAUUUUUCAUUUUCCCUGAUGAUCCAUGUCAGAAACUAUUACGGUACGAAGAGGCUUAUUUAUGUUGAAGGACUGUAAGAGCAUUGUCACUCAAGGCUCAAUAUCAUUAGUUUCGAAUAAAAGACAUUGCUCUCCGAUUUUGACAUCCAAACAAGGGACUCUGAAUUAUGCGGAAUUCCAAGGCUUGGAUGACAUAGAAUUGGCAAAUGUUGUCAUAUUCAGAAACGAGGCAUUUCGACCAAUGUUGCAUCAGGCUUGUAAAGCUUCUGUGGCCAAGCAAGUUUGCUUUAUCCUCAUGCCCACUGGAGGUGGUAAAAGUUUAUGUUACCAGGUUAGUGAAUGUUAACAUUGUCUCAACUGGGUGAUGAUCGUAUGUAGUAGAAGUGUGUGGAGACAAUGUUAGAGUAUAAGCCCUGUGCACUUUGCUCAGUGGUUCCACCAAUUAAUGUUUAAGGGUAGACCUCUGUGUCAACAUUUAAGCUUUAUUUAACAUGAUCUUCUCAUCUGCUUUGUUUAGCAUUUUUAAGAAGGUUGUGAACUUAAGGAAGGAAAUGUUUUUCAAAUGAAAAUUAAGGUAUAGGAAGUGAUUCAGGUACAUAAGCAUGGGUUCCAAUGUAUGGCAUUGGACAAAAGUAGAAAAGAAGGAAAUACGGUACAUUCUUGUUCUGCCUUCGCACUUCUCUAUCCGGUCUGUAAUCUUUAGGAAUUGAAGUUUGCACUACACUUAUGGGACCUUCUAAUCACUUACAUGAAAAUUCAUCUUGUUUAUGCAUGUUACGUGUUGUUGUUGUCAGUCAUAAUUCAUGUCCAAUUCAAAAGGGUUAUUAAGUCAAAGAGAAAUGAGUUUUUAAAGUACUUCCACCAUAUGGGUUCUAGAUUUUUAUAUGUCCUUUGCAGUUAUUUAUUUUUUAUUUUUUGGUAAGGUCCUUUGCAGUUAUUUGCUAUGCCAUUAUCUCAACAAAGGGUGAUGAUCUAUGACUUCUUUUUCCCAUAAUUGGUUUGAACUUAAUGUCCUUUAAUAUAAAUGUAUCUUGGUUGCAAGCAAAAUUAAUGAUAACUGAAUUAAGGAGGAAGAUAUAAAUCUGGAUUUAUUUAGUUGAAUUCCUUAGAAGUGUUUUCUGUUUAGUCUUGAAGUAGUUGAUAUAUGUACUGAAAGUAGUUAUAAAACAAGUAGUGACAACUGGUCCCNNNNNNNNNNNNNNNNNNNNNNNNNNNNNNNNNNNNNNNNNNNNNNNNNNNNNNNNNNNNNNNNNNNNNNNNNNNNNNNNNNNNNNNNNNNNNNNNNNNNNNNNNNNNNNNNNNNNNNNNNNNNNNNNNNNNNNNNNNNNNNNNNNNNNNNNNNNNNNNNNNNNNNNNNNNNNNNNNNNNNNNNNNNNNNNNNNNNNNNNNNNNNNNNNNNNNNNNNNNNNNNNNNNNNNNNNNNNNNNNNNNNNNNNNNNNNNNNNNNNNNNNNNNNNNNNNNNNNNNNNNNNNNNNNNNNNNNNNNNNNNNNNNNNNNNNNNNNNNNNNNNNNNNNNNNNNNNNNNNNNNNNNNNNNNNNNNAACAUCGUGCAAGCUAUGCAUGUGACUCCUGAAAGGAUCGGGGGAAAAAUAUCAUUUCUCGAGAUAUUGAAAUGCUUGCACAGAAAGGUAUUGUUUCUGAUGCACUGUAACUUUUUUCCAAAAAGGUUCUUUAUAAUUUUUUAUAUUCGAUAUAUUUUAUUGCAAGCACAACUAGCUGGUUUUGUUGUUGAUGAGGGACAUUGCAUGAGGUAUGCAUAAUCUUUGGCAUGCCUUGUACAUGAAGAAAAAUCAUGCUAGAGUUACUUCAAAAAGAAUAAUCGUUUGUGAUGUUGCCACUGCAAAACUAUUGUCCUUAUUCCAGAUAAAUAUAAGCAACUUUCCUUUUAUAUAAGCUAACUUAAAAUCUUUUUCCAAACUUUUUUGCAUUUUCUGUGUUUCUAGCCUUAUAAAUUGUUAGUGUUGCCCUAGACCUUUUGAAGCCCCUGUGAAGUUCUAAUAUAACACAAUGGAAUGUUCCUUGUUUGAGCUUUGGAAAAGAUCUAGGUUCUGUCGUUUGGGAAAAUUUAGUGGCACAUCAUUCAUUAUAUUGAGUAAGAGGACUCAACUUAAAUAAGCUGCAAUGGAAAUGACUUCCUAAAGUAAUUGGAAGUGGCAUAAGCUUGGACAAGGAUGCCAUCUGCUGUCUAUGUUUGGCAUGAUACUCCAUCUCUUCAGCUGGUUCCUAUGUAUCUAUUUAUUCUACUAAUGGUUACACUAUAUACUGACAACUUGAGAAAGGCAAAGGUCCACUCACGUGAUCAUUGAUUGUGUUCCUUACAAGGUAUUAACUGGAUUUGCUUGGCCAGUUUAAUCUCAUGAAAGGAAGAUGCCAUCUUCUAUCUAUGUUUGGCAUAAUACUCAGUCUUUUAAGCUCGUUCUUGUGUAUCUAUUUAUUCUAUUAAUGGUUAUACUAUACACUGACAACGUGAGAAAGGCAAGGGUCCACCACAUGAUCAUUGAUUGUGUUUCUUAAAAGGUAUUCACUGGAUUUGCUCUGCCAAUUUAAUCUCAUGAAAGGAACAUGCUGCUAAUUUGAGCUUUUAUUGUACAUUUGCCUGAUUGACAACAAGAGCUCAUUGGUUGUCACUUUCGUGGUUGUCAUGAAAGGAACGUACUGCUGGUUUGAGCUUUUAUAUAUGCUAACUUAAGCUCUUUUUCCAAACUUCUCUGCAUUUUUUGUGUUUCUAGCCUAAUUUAAUUGUCCAUGUUACACUAGACCUUCUGAAGCUCAGAACCCUAUAAAGUUUCUAUAUAACAGAAUGCAAUGUUCCUUGUUCAAUGGAAAGAUUUAGGUUCCGUCGUUUGGGAACACUUAGUGGCACAUCUUUCAUUAUAUUGAGUAAAGAGCGCACAAUUUAAAUAAGCUCCAGUGGAAAUUACUUCCCAGAGUAAUUGGAAUCGGCAUAAGCUUGGAUAAGGAUCCAAUCUCCUAUCUAUGUUUGGCAUGAUACUUAGUCUCUUAAGCUGGUUCUUGUGUCCCCGUUUAUUCUAUUAACGCUUAUACUUUAUGGUAACAACUUGAGAAAGGCAAAGGUUCAACCAUGUGAUCAUUGAUUGUGUUUCUUACAAGGUCUUAACUGGAUUUGCUCUGCCAGUUGAUCUCAUGAAAGGAACAUGCUGCUGGUUUGAGCUUUUCUUGUACAUUUGACUGAUUAACAAGUAAAACUCAUUGAUUGUCACUUUUGUGGUUGUCAUUAUUAGUCAAGGAGGACACGAUUUUCAUCUAGAUUAUAGGGUACUGGGAUGUCUCAAGCAGAACUUUCUGUAUGUCCUAGUGAUGGCCUUAACUACAACCGCCACUCAGUCAGUUCGUGAGUACUAAACUCACAUAUUAACCUCCUGAUUAUGUUGAAAUAAUCUGUUAAUUCUGACUGAAUUAUACAUCCAUCGCAGGAUAUCCUAAAAGCUCUUGGGGUACCCCAUGUUCUGAUAUAUUAGAUCUAGUCUGUCAAAGCUUGGGGACCUAAGGUUUGACAGACUAGAUCUAAAAUACAAGGUCAUAGCUAAGACCUAGGAACCACUGAAGCAACUUGGAGGGCUGCUAAAAAAUUGUUUUCCUAAUGUUUGUGGCAUAGUAUAUUACUUUUCGUUAAUGUCGCAAAAUACUUGAAUGAGAAGCGCCAUAUAAAAAUGGUGUACUAUCAUGCUGGAUUAGUAGCUUGUCACUGUUCAAAAGAAAUGGCAUACUGGAGAGGUCCAGAUUGUAUGUGCUACCGUUGCCUCUGGGAUGGGAAUAGACAAAUUGUAAGUCGAAAUGGACUCUGGCCUUUGCCUAUUUCUUACGUUUAGAAGUCGAUAAACGUGGUAAAAAGACCCAGAGAAGCAGAGAAGAGGAGGGUGGCCAGAUACAAGCUUUAUUUGGUCGAGGGCAAGUUCAAGGCUUCUUUCAAACAAGGGUUCCGGUGGUUGAAGCGCAAAUUGCUCGAGCUUUAUGCGUCGAUUUUUAAUAUGUAGAAAUUACAGAAUAUCAUGCUCAUUGUCAUCAAGAGAGAAAAGGAUGAAAUUGGUCGGGAGGAAACAAAGAGUUUCCAAAGAGGUUUGUUUUGUUUAUUGGCUAAUCAUCUUAAUAUGUAUCUAAUGGUAAUUAAGUAUUCGGAAGAGUGCCACAAUGUUCGAUCUUUCCAGUAUAAUGUUUGUUCAAAUCCUUGUUUCUUUCAUCGAUCUCUAGCAUUCGAAACAUAGGGAAAUGAGACGACUUGUAUGUGAUAUUCACAUAUAUUUAUAUUUAUCAAAAGUUAUUUUUCCCCGAAUUUCCUUACCUUCCGAUUUACUGCAACAUGAUUCUGCAUGCAUGCAUGCUUUCUCGUGCGAAGUAAAAAUUGUCUGACCUUCUAAUUUCUCUUCUCAGCAACACGAUGUUGAUUGCAAAAUAAGAUGACUGCUUUCAUUUGUAGGAUUUGACGUUUACACGAAAGUAGAUUUCGUUGUUAAGAACUUUUUUUUUUUGAUCAAAUGUUCUUUUAAGUCUCUGUUUUGGGGUUCAUUAACGCUGUAAUUCCUCAAUUUGUCUAUUUCUUUUUCUUUGCAUCAUAUGAUUUUAUCAUAUGGCAAACUACCAAAUCUAUACAUUCUAACAUGCAGCUAGCAGUGUUAAGGGCUUCUAUACUUCCAUUCUGAUUCAAGGAUUCAUAUUUCAAGUACUGUCUUGUCGAGUUUGAGUUACGAAUGUGGAGGAAAUCAAAGAGCUCGAAGCGAANNNNNNNNNNNNNNNNNNNNNNNNNNNNNNNNNNNNNNNNNNNNNNNNNNNNNNNNNNNNNNNNNNNNNNNNNNNNNNNNNNNNNNNNNNNNNNNNNNNNNNNNNNNNNNNNNNNNNNNNNNNNNNNNNNNNNNNNNNNNNNNNNNNNNNNNNNNNNNNNNNNNNNNNNNNNNNNNNNNNNNNNNNNNNNNNNNNNNNNNNNNNNNNNNNNNNNNNNNNNNNCCAACUUCAAUCGAUUCGGCUGAUGGGGCUGUGAAUGAUGUUCCAUAAGUAGUCAAACACAAAGCUAUUGCCCUUUGGAUUAAUUGCCUAGACACCGAUUAAGCAGCUAAGUAAAUAAAGUGUAGAGCUGAUGCAUUGACUUUACUCGCGACUUUUCUCGUGUAAUGUUCAACCAAUAUUCUGAAGUUAAAUUAUUUCAUAUUAAGGAUUUUUAACUAGUAUUUCAACACGACCCGCAUUACAUGUGUUAGUACUUAUAGAUUCAAAUGCGGCUUAACAAGCUACUUGGCCUUGUCUUGAGCUCUGGAAAAAUUGAGUCAAAGUUCAAGGGGAUAACAAGCAAAUCAAACCAUGAGUACCUUGCAAGUAGCUUUCAACUACUAAAAUUCCACUACUGUAGUUUAGUACAGGGUACAGGAAUAUCUGAGAGUGGCCUCCAAGAAAUUGCUUCGAUUGAAACUUGAAUGUGUGAACGGUGACCGCAAUUUGGUGGAGUGUCGUCUCAUUAUAAACCAAUUAGAUGACCCUUAGAAGUUUUUUGUUCAAAGACAAUGAGUAAAUUUUGGGAAGGGCUCUUUUCACCCUUCCAAAAAUUUUGUCCACGUUUUAUCAUUAGUCUUCAACUGCAGCCAAUGCAAGAGAAAAAUAGGUUUCAGGUGUGAAAAUAUAUACGGUUGGGUCUCUUCAGCUUUUAGAUUCAUGCUUAAAUAAAUCAAGUUUGAGAUUAUACAAUAAAAGUGAUUGCAAAAUGCGGACAUAUGAAUUUUCUGAGGUAACACCAGACCAGAGAGAUGAUUUUACACAAUUGAACACCUUUCUCGUGUGUUCGAAAUUCAACCAAAUGAGAAACUACUGUCUUCUUGUAAACCUUUUCGCUGAAACUCUUGGCUGCAAUUGACAGAUUUUUUGCUGAUUCCAUUGCAUUCGAUUUUUCUAGUCGCAAAAUUGUAGCCUGAAGUGGACAUCUAACUGGUAAUCUCCUUGACCAAUCUCAUUUUAUGCUUAACUUGCACAAAUAAAACCACCUGCGCGUGCAGUCUUCCUGCAAGCGAUUUGUGCUUGCAAAGGACAAAUAACCCACAUGAGAAGAGGCUGCUUCAUAUCCAGAAUCCUUUGAAGAGUAUUGACAACACGGAGAACAUGAUAAACGCCACUAGGUUCAGAAUACAUUUUCAUAAUGACAUAGCUCAUUCCUGCUCGCAUAUCCAACAUGUGGUGUUUCGGGGACUUUCUCCAAGUUCCAUGAAAUGCAGCUUGAAUCUACACGAUGAGCAUAGGACUGACUCAUUAUCAAUAAAUAAAGAAAUGCGAGAUUGCAGCAUCACAAUUUACCCCAUGAAAGAUAAGGUACAAAUGUGAAAACAUCAUUUACACCAAUCGUUGUUCAACCACAGUGAACAUAGACUUGAUUAGCUAGCAGAUGAAAACGGAAAAAAAUAGGCUUAAAAGAAGUAAACAAUUUGCAACAACACUUUCCCCGUUUGUGUUCAGGAACAAAAUUAAUGUUAAUAAAAUUAUGCUGAAAAUGUGAAAUGCCUAAACUACAUAACAGAAAGACGUACUUGUUACUUGAUCAUUGGCAAUAUCCAAUCAGCAAAAUCAGCAACUCGGGAUAGAUUGUGAGGGGGUCAGUUUCAACUUCACUAAUUCAAUAUUGCAAACAUGAGAACUGAGCUUAUCAAAUCAGAAACCUAUAUGACAACAUUCAAAGGAUAAACUGAUAGAAAUGGAGGAGCUUAGUGCAUACCUACCUUUGCAUAGCCUCAUCAAGUUCAGGAGUGAUGUCCCUAGAAUGCAACCACACCAAACAACUCUGCAUCAGGAUAACAUACACAAAAAUGACCAGCUACUCAUUUGAUUAACAAAGAGAUAGAACCUAACGAGCAUACAAACAACAGAUUCAAUUUAAAAAACAACAUUUACUAUCAUUCAGGUACAUGCUGUUGAGACCAGAUCAAGUGCUUUGGAUCUUCACAAGCAUCAAAACUUCCUCAGAACAUUUUGCUUGGCCCACGAUGUCACGCCCCAACCCUCAGGCAUGCACACAUCCCUUACUUAUGGUCGAUUUUAAAAUGCGAUAUCCCAGGACUAUGUAUCGCCAACCCUUUCAAUUAUAUAUGCACAUGCGGAAGCAGUUAUAAAUCCCCAGACAAUAAAGCAAUGGGAUAGAAAAGCAUGCCAUACAUUUUUCUUACUGAAAAUUCACAACUACAUCUUUUUACAUGCAAACAAAGUCUGACAAGACAGGAUAGGAUUUCGGUCCUCAUCCGGGUCGUACUCGAUGUCAUACUCGGGGUCCUCCUCCACGUACUCCUCUUUGGGUUCCUCAACAGGGAUCUCCUCAUCAGAUUCAUGCUCCUUAGGCUCCUCAUCCAGGUCCUGAAAUGGGUAUUCAAUAACCACUGAGACCACGUGUCAGCAAGUUCUACUUCCUAAGACUCGAUUAGUAAACUAAUACACCUUAGGGCUGCCUAUGCACAACAUGAAUUAGAAGACUUACCUUAGCCUCAGAUUCCACCUGCAUAUUAGUACAGAUCGAAUAGGCACACAAGCAAUCACAUCACAGAUCGAAGCAUCGAUUUAAUCGACUUAGUCGAUUUCACAACAGGAAGACCACUCACGAUCAUCUCCCUUCAAUCAUUCAAUUCACAACAUCAAAUCAAGGCAAUGCAUCACAUCAAAACACACUCAGAUCGAAUCAUCGAUCAAUCGACCUAGUCGAUUACAAGCCAGACGGAUCAUUUCUAGGUCCUUCAUCCAACACCAAGCAAUUCCUUAGAUUUAGUGGCUUUACGGUCCCACCUGACCCUCUCAAGAACUAGUGGCUUUUCGGUCCCACCCGACCCUCUCGAGAACUAGUGGCUUUACGGUCCCACCCGACCCUCUCGAGAACUAGUGGCUUUUCGGUCCCACCCGACCCUCUCGAGAACUAAUGGCUUUACGGUCCCACCCGACCCUCUCGAGAACUAGUGGCUUUACGGUCCCACCCGACCCUCUCAAGAUGCCAUACUAUGUCACCGAGCCACGUGCAUUCUCCAGGAAGACAUACCGAGUCUCCGAGCCACGUGCAUUCUCUAAGGCUACCUUUUCGCCAAGAUGACAUAUCUAAUCACCGAGCCACGUGUCUUUCCCAAGUAACAUUCCAAUUCACUGGGCCACAUGCAUCCUCAAGGUGAUUUACCAACUCACUUUCGAUACUAACAACCGAUAUCUGACCAAUUCUCAAUAACAAGGCCAAAAUUGCAUUAUUUAAUAACAUACUUAGAAAUGCACCAUUAAAUCAAUUCGACACGAAUUAAAGCUCAAAUAAAUAAACGGACUGCUCCACGACAAUCAGUACGAAAUUCCAGUCACUGGCCAUCCCAGUUGAAUUUCCGGAAAAUAAAUAAUUAAAUAAUUAAUUUCGAAAAUUAAAUAAAUAAAUACAAUAAAUUCAAUUUAGCACAAUAUAAAGCUCAAUUAAAUAAAUGGACUGCGCCACGAUCAUCAGCAUAAAAUCCCGGUAACUAGCCAUCCCAGUUGAAUUUCCGAGAAAUAAAUAUUAAAUAAUUAAUUUCGAAAAUUAAUAUUUAAUUCCUAAAAAUACCACCUAGGCCCGAAUUGCUUAAUUAACACCCGAUAAGGGACGGGAAAAAUCCCAAGAAGCAUCCAAUAAAUACUACAUGCAAUUCUCUAUCUAAUUACACUAAUUACAUCACUAAUAUACAAAGCAAUUAACUAAUAAUCCCUAAUCCAUUCUAAUCUAACAACCUAAUUACACUUAAUUAACACUAAUCAACCGUUAAGUAUAAUUAGCACACCAAGAAGGCAUUAGUGAGUAAAACUCACACAAAACGACGGGCUCGACGCGAGGAUCAACUUUCCUCAAAGCGGGCCGAGCAUCCGGGCUCGGGAAGGCGGCCAAAACGGGCCAAAACCUCACUGCAAACCCAUUUCUACAAUCCUCUGAUCGCUGCUGGUCGGGGCAGAUUUGGGGCCGGUUGAGGCGGCCAAGGGCGGCUGAGGGCGAGGCGGAGCUCCGGCGAGGCUGACGGUGGCCGGAGGAGGUCAGGCGGUGGCCGGAGGCGGCUGAUCGGGACUUAACAGAGGCGGAACAGGGGUUGGGUCGCAUAGCG
rnacentral:lncRNA from 1 species